UAUUCUAAUAAAUUAAAAUUUUAUUUUUAUUUAAUUUUUAAUAAAUGCACAUUGCCAAAUGCGUCCUAGGGUUAAAGAGGAAAGGGCAAAUCCUCUUAAAAGCAAUGGCUUCUCACUUUCCACUGCUCUCUCGUCUUCUUCCUCCUUCCCAUUUCUUCUUCCUUCUUCCGUGGCUUCUCAUUUCUCUCCCAAACCCAGUUCUCUCUCAGUGCCACCACACUCCAGUUAUAUUCUCUUUCGGCGAUUCCAACUCUGACACUCCGGACUCGUCGCUGGGCUUGGCUUCCCAGUCAACUUCCCCAAUGGUCGUACCUUCUUCCGCAAAUCAACUGGCCGUCUCUCCGAUGGACACCUCAAUCUUCUCUGUAAGUCAUCGCACCCGACCACUACUUUGGAUUCUCAUUUCUUCUUCCAGUGCAGGGGGUGGGAGGGUGGCUUCGUAGGAAGAAGGGUGGGGUCCCGCUGGCGGGAGACCGUGAGGAGGGGGGCUUUUCCAGCGGUGGGGGACGGCAAGAAGGGGCUUUUCUAGCGCGGGGUGGGGGUCCUACCGAUGGGGGACGACGACAAUGGAAAAAAAAAAAAAGUUGAAUUGGACGGUUCGAGGGAAACCGUCCGGUUCACCGGUCGGACCACCGGUUUAGCCGGCCUAAUUCCGGUCUGAACACUUUCCGGUUUAAAUGACCAGACUGAACAAGAAUCGUGACCGGUCGGCGGUCGGACCGGCUGGUCCUGUUCGGUUUUUAAAACCAUGGUUUUUUGUGGCAAUUGGAUAUGGGGCAGUUGCUUGUUCAAUCAUAUGUCCUUUGGAUGACUUACUAAUCUUUUAAGAACUACCUAUGAUGUGAUUGACUUGAGUCUUGCUGUUUAGGUUGCUCUCAUGUUUCUUGGAUCUGCUUAUUCUUGGAGGCAGCAUGUAUUUUCUGAAAGUGACCAGUGAAAUCAUUAUUCUCUUCUUUGUCUGGUUUCGUCAAUUUAAGUUCCUUUUUACUGUGGGCAUAAUAAUGCACGUCCUUUGGUUUUGGCAUAUAAUCCUAUAAAGUCUGUCAAUAUGGUUUUGUUUCCAUGGUUGAGCAUUGCAUACUUUUCUUUAUAUCAUGAAAAGAAUUCUGAGUGUGUCAGAAUCUUCUAUUUCGGUCAUUUUGAUACUUUCCUGGGCUCUGUGUAAGCUGAAGCUUGUCUUGUUCUUCUUAACAAAGGCAUGAGUUCAAGCAUAAUCAUGAAGAAUGGAUCAAUUCAGUGAAGCCUAUCCUUGAUGCUUCUAUUUCAUCACAAUUACAUGAUGUAUUGGAGGUGGCAGAUACUGAGAUUGAAAACUGUCAAUCAUCCAGGAUGGAAAUACGUUCUGCUCUUAACUCUCUUUUGAAGGUACUGAAUUUAUACUGCAGUGUGUGGUACAUAUUGCAGAACUUCUAUAUCAUUAAUGAGUCAUCUAAUCAUAAGUACUGAAUUUAUAUCAUAUAUGAUUCUCUGGGUGAACUUAUAGUAGAGCUGAUUUUAUGUGAUCGGUCUUUAGUUUGGAGAUGAUUCUUUAUGUGCAGAUAGUAAUAUAUAGGUGAUUCCAUCUUUUAUGUUGAUUAGAAAGAGAAAAAAAACAGUCCAAAAACAACCAUUAAGGGCAUAUAAAUCUCAAAGGGAGCAUACUUGGUCAACCUAUCGCCUAUUUAGUCUGUCAGACAGAGAAUCCAAGUAUAGGAAAAACCCAACUCUUUAAGAACUCAAUAAUCAUUCACGGCUAUACAUACUAUUUGCAAGGUCCUUGCUUCUUCUCUGAGACCGAAGCUGAACCACCUUCACAAGGAUAUUAUUAGGUCCAACGAAGCAGCCUGCUCCAGUCUUUCCAACAUGCUAAUAACUCUACCUCAAUAGUCAACCUUCCCCCAUCAGUUGUAGAAAAAUCCCUAAUCAAUCUGCUCUCAUGAUCUGGGAGCUCGCCUACUAUAACCAUAUAUACCAGAUUUUUCCAAAGAGCAUCCUUCAAUAUUAAACUUGUUCUGGGUUCUGCUUAAUAUGCAACUUUUGAACCCUCCAAAAUUAAUUUCGCUGUGUGUUUCCAUGCAACUCUUCAACCCUCCUACUUGAAUAAACCUAAGCCCAAUCUAACAUGAUCACAUUGACCAUUGUGCUGGGGAAAGCAUUCACCAGCAGUGACUACCACCCGAAAAGAGGAAAGAAAAUAGAACAAAACCUAUAAAACUUCACAUGCCUCCAUCUAUCCUCAAAGAUUCUAGUUUUCCUCUUUAGCCAAAUCAGCCAUGGUAAGUUUAAGAGCCUCACACCUCCAGCAUUGCUUCCAAACCCCAAGAAAGUGAUCUUCAUGCUUUGCACUCGUUUCAACUAUUGUUAAAGUAAUAGAUAAUCAACUGCCUUACCACUGUUUAAGCACCUGAUAGGCUGAUAUAAUACUUGGCCCUUAUGACUUUAAAAGAGAUGUCUUAGCUACAACUAAUUGUUAAUAUUAACCCUUACAUUAACAGUGAACUAAGAAAAUCCUGGGCUUUUGGUGGAUUUUUCAAACUUCAAAUUGAAUUGUCUUGACAAAAGUGAUUGAAGCCUUAGAUUAGAACAAAGCCCGAAACUUGAAGUAGUUGGAGACUUUCUGUGUCAAUGUUUUAAUAGUAGGGGAAGGCCAUUAAUUUCAUGCUCCACAUGAUUAGGGAAAAAAAGAAAAAGAUUGAAAUUUCAAUUAGUAGAGGGUUCUGAGUUAUCACAAUUCAUGAAUGGCAGAGAUUGCUCCAAACUCAAAAAGGAAAUAGAGGCCAAAAUAUAGAUAUUGUAAGAGUGGUCUUAUCACCAAAGAUUUUCCUGAAAUCGGAUCUUUAUACCAUCACCAAUAGUAGAAGGAAUAAGAAAAAACUAGGAAACCCUAGGGCAAAAGCUUUACGGGGAUCAUGUUGUGAUAAUCUAACCAAAAUGUUGGUAUCCCCAUCCAUUAGAGUGUGCUUUGUAGAUACUUCUAUUGACCUUGUGCUCAAGUGCAUUGCUUUUCAUAAGAAAGCUCCCUAGCCAUUACCUUAGAAGCUCUAUUCCUAAAAGAAACUUUACCAAAGACUUGAGCUCUUUAUACUACUUCUAUGCACCACAAUCCCUUCUAGCAAGUCUUUUAUCUUUUGCUUAGAAUAUCGAUGUUCUCAAAACAUGCACAAAAAUCGUAAAAGGAAAAGGUGACUGCAGGUUGCCUUUCCUAAGCCCUGAAAAAGUGUCUACCUAACCCUUAGCAUAAUGAUUAGAAAAAUUUAUAGUGUUGUUCAAAAUGUAUCUAGCAUGAAAACCUUCCCUAAAUAAUACUUCAUCCUCUGAUACCAAGUAUUUUAUUAUUUUUUUCAUUCUUCUCCAUUGCAUCCCCAUGAAAGAGCUUAUGAUUACAAUCUUCUUCUUUGAUCCAUUUUCACUGUUAAUUUUUCCUCCAAAUAACAUCUCCCUUCAGCAAGAAAUAAUUUAACUCCAAUUUCCAAAGUCAGAUCUACUGAUCUGUAAUUACCUUCCUCUAUGUUCCUGUGCAUAUACGCCCAUGUGCCCCAAUCAACUUCUCCACUCUGAUAUUUUUGCAUAAUAUGCUGAAGAUGGUUCUAAGCUACUUAGUAAUAACCUUAAAAGCAACUGAAUUUUUGGAAACCAAUCUGCAUCCCAUAGAUAAAAUUAUGAGUUUUGUGCUUUCUUAACAUGUUCAAAAAAUUUUGUGGAUGUGCCUUUAAGGCCCGACUCAAGUGAUAAAGGGUUGGGGAGGAUUUGUGGGAGGUUCUAGAUUCAAGUCCCCUAUAAAUUUGCAUAUAAAAAAAAAAGUUGUAGAUGUGCACCUAUCUUCUUCUAUGAUAUACUAUUGAUAGACUAGAGGGUAGUAGUUGCUAGAUUAUUUAAAAUACAAUUAUUAGAUAAUACAGGAAAAUCAAUAUUUUCUAUGUUUGGGUCAUUUAGUGACUAAAUUACAGUUCAUGUGGAGUUUUGGGAUUCAUUGAGUUAAAUUUUAAUCUUGAGGGCCACUUUGAUUUUUCACCUGGCAACUACAAUGAUUAUUGGAUUGGUUAGGAGAGAAUCUGGGGUCCAGUUGACAUUCUUCCAAUAUCCACUUGCAUCCCAAAGAAGCCUAUUGUUUUUAAUAAAUUGCAUUUUUCUUGGAAUUUACCUCUUUUCCAUUUUUGUAAUAUCAUAUAUCCAUAUGCAUGAUUCAUCAUCAACAAAAUAUGCGUUCUUCCCCUGGUAAUAAGUGACAUCUCGGUCGGUACUUGCUCCCCUAAUUUUGUUCUCUUUAUUUUGACAUGUGACUGCAUGCUGUCCUUAUUGCUAGUGUUCUCUUAAUUUGUUUAUCUGGGACUCUUUGAAGUAUGCUUCUGUUGCUUGUUAAUUUUUGGACAGGAUGAUGGAAUUCUGGUGAUCCCUACUGUUGCUGACCCUCCCCCAAAACUUGGUGGGAAGGAGAGUUUGUCAGAGGAAUACCAGAACCGUACUCUUGGUCUGUUGAGUAUUGCUAGUAUGUCAGGUUGCUGUCAGGUUAAAUUCUCUCUCACUCCCUCUUUUCAUGUUUGAAGGGUGUUGCUUUUCACUGGAUCUGUACUCUCCCACAUUUUGAAUAUUUAACAUUGAAAUAAUUGCAGUAGUUGGUUGAGUUUUCUCUGUGAUGAUGAAUUCAUGCUACUUAUUUUCUUUGUUGGUGUUUCUACAUCUUGUUUUAGGUCACAGUACCAUUGGGACUUUAUGACAAGUAUCCUGUUUCAGUAUCUUUCAUGGCUAGACAUGGGGGUGAUCGCUUUUUACUAGAUACAGUGCAGACCAUGUAUGCAUCUCUUCAGGAGCAGGCUGACAUUGCUGCAAAGUCCAAACUAUCAAGUAAUGCUGUUGACCGGGAAACAUCUGCUGAAAUUGCUAAAGAAAAGGUACCUUUUUAAAUAUAUUUUUGAAUGUAAAGUUUGUGGUCUGCAGCUUAUUUAGCGAAUAAUUCUAAUAGGACCUGCAAUGAAUCAGGGUCAGAUCAACGUAAUAAGGGGUCUUAAGGCAAAAUUAUAAAUGAAUCAUUUUAUCUAUUAUGUUAUUAUAAAUCAUAUUAUCUAUCUAUAUGCAUAAAGAAUUCUAAUCUAAAGUUCAUUCUUGAUUUAAAUUGAAUGAAAAUAGUUGAGAGAGAGAGAGAGAAAGGAGAAAAACCUUAAUUCUCAUUCAUGUGAUUAACUACUUACAAUUGAGAAGUAUAUAUAUAUAUACAAGCCUAGGAGAACUAACUACCAUACAUAUAACCUAUAUUAAAAAAGGAAAGACUGUACACUAUAUAUACAUUAUAUUCAACACUCCCCCUCAAGUUGAAGCAUAUAUGUCAUAUGCACCAAGCUUGUUACAAAUGUAUUUAAUCCUAGGACCUCUGAGAGAUUUAGUGAAGAUGUCUGCUAGUUGAUCAUUUGAAUUAACAAAACUUGUAGCAACACAUACUGAUGCGAUCUUCUCUCUAAUGAAGUGACAAUCAACUUCAAUAUGCUUAGUCCUUUCAUGAAAGACUGGAUUGGAUGCAAUAUGUAAUGCGGCCUGGUUAUCACAGAUGAGUUUCAUCUGUUCAUCCUUUCCAAAUCUCAACUCUUGAAGAAGAUGUCUCAACCAUAUGAGUUCACAUGUUGCCAGAGCCAUAGCUCGAUACUCGGCUUCAGCGCUAGAUCUGGCCACUACAUCUUGUUUCUUACUCUUCCAAGAUAUUAGAUUACCUCCAAUAAAAACACAGUACCUUGAAGUGGAACGUCUAUCUGUGGGUGAGCCAGCCUAAUCUGCAUCUGUGUAACCAACAACCUGAGUAUGACCUCUGUUCUCGUACAACACACCUUGGCCUGGUGUGCUUUUGAUAUAUCGAAGAAUGCGGAUUACGGCAUCCCAAUGGCUAUCACAUGGUGACUGUAGGAAUUGACUGACAACACUCACAGGAAAAGAAAUGUAUGGACGAGUAAUGGUGAGGUAGUUCAAUUUACCUACGAGUCAUCGAUAUCUCCCAGGGUCUCCUAAAGGCUCCCCCUGUCCUGGUACAAGUUUGACAUUCGGAUCCAUAGGUGUGUCUACCGGUUUACAGUUUAACAUACCGGUUUCUUCCAGGAUGUCUAAAGCAUACUUCCUUUGGGAAAGGACCACACCGGAACUGGAUUGAGUUAUCCAAUUCCCAAGAAAUACUUGAGUUUCCCUAAGUCUUUAGUUUGAAAGUGGGUAAAAAGAUGUUGCUUUAGUUUCUGAAUACCAUCUUGAUCACUACCUGUAAUGACAAUGUCGUCCACAUAAACAACCAGAUAAAUACACUGCCCCAAGGAGUUAUGAUGAUAGAAAACUGAAUGGUCUGCUGUACUGCGAAGCAUGCCAAACUCUUGAACAAUAGAGCUAAAACGGCCAAAUCAUGCUCGAGGAGAUUGUUUCAAGCCAUAUAGAGAACGGCGUAACCUGCACACUAAACCAGACUCCCCCUGAGCAACAAAACCAGGAGGUUGCUCCAUAUAAACUUCCUCGACAAGAUCACCAUGAAGAAAGACAUUUUUAAUAUCCAACUGAUAAAGAGGCCAAAAACACAUAGCAGCCAUGGAGAGAAGCAGACGGACAGAAGCAAUCUUGGCAACAGGGGAGAAUGUGUCACCAUAAUCAGAACCAUAAACCUGAGUAUAGCCUUUAGCAACUAAGCGGGCCUUAAGGCGAUCAACCUGACCAUCAGGACCAACCUUAACUGCGUAGACCCAACGACAGCCAACUGUAGAUUUACCAGAGGGUAAAACAACAAGAUCCCAAGUGCCAUUAGAGUGCAGAGCAGCCAUUUCAUCCACCAUUGCCUGUCGCCAGCCUGGAUGGGAAAGAGCUUCAUGGGUGCUCUUUGGAAGAGAAACAGAGGAUAUAGCAGAAACAAAAGCAGAAUAAGGUGAAGAUAAUCGAUGAUAACUCAAAAAAUUGUAAAUAGGAUGAGGAUUACGAGUAGAGCGAGUACCUUUCCGAAUAGCAAUGGGUAAAUCAUCAGGAGAAGGCAGAGCCGGGGCAGGAGAAGCCGAAGGGGUAGGAAGUGAGUUAGCAGGUGUCUCAGCAAAAGGGAGAGGAGCAGCGACACGAGGGCGACGAUGAUAAACCUGAAGUGGUUGAGGAGGCACGACAUCAGCUGGGGAGACAAUGGGAAGGGGCAAGAUUUCAGAAACAGGAAGAGACUCAGAAGUGGUGGAAAAGAAUGGUGAGUCCUCAAAGAAGGUGACAUCAGCGGAGAUAAAGUAUCGAUGAAUCUCAAGGGAAUAAUAACGAUAACCCUUCUGAAGUCUAGAAUAUCCCAAGAAGAGGCACUUCAUGGCUUUGGCAGAAAGCUUGUCCUGCCCAGGAGUGAGAAUAUGAACAAAGCAAGUACAACCAAAGACACGAGGAGGAAAGAAAUAAAGUGGUUGGUCAGGGAAGAGAAGGGAGUGAGGAAUCUGAUCGUGUAAGACAAAGGAGGGCAUACGAUUAAUCAAAUAACAAGCGGUAAGAACAGCGUCCCCCCAAAAACGAAAAGGAACAUUACUAUGGAGGAGGAUAGUACGAGCUGUCUUAACAAGAUGUCGAUUCUUGCGUUCAGCUACCCCAUUUUGUUAAGGAGUAUGAGCACAAGAAGACUAAUGAAGAAUCCCAUGAUGAGACAUAAAUGAAGUAAAUGGGGCUGAAAAAUAUUCCCUAGCAUUGUCACUGCGUAACACACGAAUAGAAAUAUUGAACUGGGUUUGGAUUUCAACAUAAAAUUUCUGGAAAAUAGAGAAUAACUCAGCUCGAUUUUUCAUUAAAAAUAACUAAGUACAUCGAGAAUAGUCAUCAAUGAAAGUGACAAAAUACUGAAAUCCUAAAGUAGACACAGUCCGACAAGGACCCCAAACAUCAGUGUGGACAAGCUCAAAAGGAGACUUUGCCCGAUUAUUCAAACGCUUUGGGAACGAGACACGAGUAUGUUUCCCAAGCUGACAUGACUCACACGGAAGCGACGACAAAGUGGAAAAACGAGGGAUCAUCUUCUGGAACUUGGAGAGACUAGGAUGACCUAGACGAUUGUGAAUGAGGAGAGGAGCAUCAGUGGAAAUGCAAACUACAGCAGAUGAAUCCGAGGUGAGGUGAUAGAGGCCUUGAGACUCACGUCCUAUGCCAAUCGUCUUCCCCGUACUCCGGUCCUGCAAGGUCACAAAUUUAUCAGAAAAGGUAAUAGAGCAAUUAAGAGUACGAGUGAGUUUGCUGAUGGAAAUAAGAUUAAAAGGACAUUCAGAAGUAUAAAGGAUAGAAGUGAGAGGUAGAGAAGGCAGAGGAAGGACUAAACCAAUACCUUUAGCCACAGUUUGAGAACCAUUAGCUAAGGUAACAGUAGGUAAAGCAGAGGUAGUAGUAAUAGAGGAGAAAAGAUCCUUAUUACCAGAUAGGUGAUCAGAAGCUCCAGAAUCUAGAAUCCAGGGUCCAAGAGAAGAUGUGUGGGUAAGGCAGGCAGAGGCAUUACCAGGCUAGGCAACAGAGGCAAUAGAAGCCUGAGAUGUCUGAGAUGCGGAGGAGCUCGGAGGAUGAGGCAGUGGAGAAUCAGAGGACUGGGCCAUAUGGGCAGUGCGAGGAGGCCGUCCAUGUAACUGAUAGCAACGAUCGCGAGUGUGGCCAAGUUUAUUGCAAUAGGUGCAAUGAGGACGUUGGCCUCUACCUUGGGUACCACUGCGUCCUCCUCGAGAGGUAGUUUGAGAAACUAACACAGAAGAAUCUGAAGUGCUAUCAGAUGGCAAAGUCUGAGUGGACGAGAUACGGAGGAGGCGAGCAAACACAUCAUCCAAGGACGGAACUGAUGAACUACCAAGAAUUUGAUCACGGAUAGGCUCAAGAUCCCGACGGAGGCCAAUAAGAGUAAGGACCAUGAAGAACUUGUCAAGCUGUGUUUGUUGAGCCCCAACAUCAGGAGUAAGAGGCAUCACAGUCAAGAACUCCUCCUUAAGAGAGGCAAUCUGACCAAUAUAAGUAGAUAGAUCCAAGUCCUGUUGGCUGAUAUGGACAAUAGCAGAAGCCACCUUAUAAAGACGCUGGAUAUCAUUCGUGUAUAAUCCUUUGGCCUGAGUCCAAAAUUUAAAACAAGUUUUGUAGGCCUGAAGAUGAAGAAGAAUCCUGGGAUCAACCGAUUGCCAUAAUACACUACAUAAUUGUGCAUCUAUCUUCCUCCACUGUACGCGGUCAACCUCAGGGAUAUCUGCCUCCUGGGUAACUAAGUGAUCCUCAUAUCCUUGACCCAUAAACCAAAGUUCAACAGAGGCAGACCAGGAAAGAUAAUUUUCACUGCCAACCAAUUUCUCCGAAGUAAUCAUAGGAGAUCCAGAUAUGAUAGAGGAAAAAAUGGAAGUUUUAGUAGCCAUAUCCACUUAUCUGGAGAAUGAAGUAUGUUUGGAUCGAAGAGAGUCCUAAUACGACUUCAGAUUGCGGCGUGGCACCACUGAAAAAGGGAGACGACCUCAGAUCGCGGCGUGGUACCACCAGAAAGGUAGAAGAACACUUCCCAAGGCACGUGCAGGGAUUGGGGUGGAGAAAAAGUAGCCGGAGCUUCGCCGGAAAGACUGUUUGGAGGGCUGACGGAGACAAAAAUCCCCAAAAGAGGUACAUGCAGGGCUCGGAUGGGAGAACCAAGGAUGUAGGGAGGCUGGUCGGCGUCAGGCAAAGCUGGAGGAGGAGGCGUGUCGCCGGAAAAGGCCUCACGCGCCGGCGCGUGAGAUGCAGUCGCCGGCCGGAAAAUUGCGCGUGGCCGUCGUGUGGAUGAGCUUUUGGUUCCGGUGCCUUCACAAAAGUUGGAGAUCUCCUCUAGGCGCUCCUUCUGGUAUGGUCGGUGUCGGAAAAAGACGUCGCCGGAAAGUUGGCCGGAAAAUUUUGCCGGCGGUGAGUGUUUUCUGACGACGAUCCGACUGACCGGAAAGUAUUGGGAGAUGGGGAAGGUGACCGGAAUGAAACACGGUCACCGGAAGGUUUCCCGGAGUUGAUGACACGGGAAACUAGAAAGAAUUAGGUUUUCUCCCUUGGCUCUGAUACCAAGUUGAGAGAGAGAGAGAGAAAGGAGAAAAACUUUAAUUCUCAUUCAUGUGAUUAACUACUUACAAUUGAGAAGUAUAUAUAUAUAUACAAGCCUAGGAGAACUAACUACCAUACAUGUAACCUAUAUUAAAAAAGGAAAGACUGUACACUAUAUAUACAUUAUAUUCAACAAAAAUGAAGAAGAAGCCGAUAGGAAAAAAAAUAACUAAUCAAAGGUUUAAAGUUUAAAUCCAUAUUUGAAUUUUUUUUAGUGGGAUGAAAAUAAAAAAAAGGAGGGCACUCACUUGAAAUUGCAUCUCAUUGGACAAUGGGACCAGUUUUAUUGAGGCCUAAUUGAAACUAAUGGGGUUUCCUUUUAAGGGGUUCUCAUUGGUAUUUGUCAUAUAUUAAAAUGUGACCUGUUAGAGACAUCUCAUAAUGCAUAUAAAAAAUUACCUAUCAAAAAAAAAAUCUUUGUUUUUAGCAUCCCAAUUCUUUGUAUGCUAGGGUAGUCUAGAUUCUCUGAUGGCAUUCUCUUGAAGGGUUUCUAGUUUUCACACUUUUGAAUUUUCUACUAACAAUUUGCAUGUAUGAAAAAGUUUUUGAAAAACGAGAAAUUGUUUUAUUUGCUUUCCUAUUUCUUUCUGUAAACCUGGCAUGAUUGUUUCUUUUAUUUGGAUGUAUUUAGCGUGCCUGUUAUCUUAGUUGAUAGCUGACAUAUUUUGGUGUUUUAGGAAUUUUCUCUGUUAAACGCCUCUGAGUCCUUAGUGACAUUUGGAUUGGCUGUCAGCAAGCCUAAAGGAGCAGAUUAUUUUUUACAAUUUCAUUUAAAAUCUUCUGGUAGCUUACCAAAGUAAUUUAACUUCGAAAAACUGAUUAUAUUCCACAAUUGAGGUUGUGAAUAGUACUAGAUGGGGGGCUUUAAUUUUCAUCUGCCAACUUUACGCAUUCAGUAGAAUGUGGAGUUCUUCAAAUUUCCAAUGUAUCACAACCUACUUCAGUUAAAAUGAAGAAUUGGCUUGGAGAGGAGCAUGUGUGAAUGUUAAGAGUGCCUUAAAUGUAAAUGUUGGGAAAACCAAUCUGUGUAACUGAUUAACUUCUUAUUUUUGCUCCUGCAUCUUCUAAACUUCUUUUUUACUGCUUAUUGGGAACGUUGUUGAAGGAAACAGGAGACAACACAUAGGGAGAGCUAUAUUAGAGAAUGAGAUGCCUGGUAAACCUGAACAAAAAAUAACUUUUGUUGCCUAUAAAGAUUCAAAUUACAGGGAUUAGUUGAAUGAUAAGUUUGGAUAUAGCAAUUUCAUAAUAUGCUUCUCAUUGGAAUGUUCAUUUUUCUUUGGAUAUUCUGUAGUUAAAAUAUUCUUCACCAGUAUAUGAACUAUGUGCACAUCCUUUUUUAGUUCUUAAUUUGAUAUUCUGCUGUUAAGUGUUCUACAUAUUAUUUCGAACGUCUUAGGCAACUGGGCAAUUACUUACAAUCAAUCCAGAAAUGGGCUAUUGAAUGUCUAUGCUUUUCUUUGUACUUCUGUGUGUUUUCUUCUCUGAAAUCAAUUAUUUUCUUGUGUUUUCUGUUCUUUGAUUAGGGUAAUCAAGCAUUCAAAGAUAAACAGUGGCAGAAGGCUGUUGGCUUCUAUACAGAAGCCAUUAAACUUAGUGGCAAUAAUGCAACAUACUACAGCAAUAGAGCUGCAGCAUAUCUGGAAAUGGGAAGGUAUUGUUACUUUAUUGAGAAUUUAUGAAUAAUGGUUUUUUCAAUGUGCUUAACAAGUUCCCUUUUUGUUUAUCCAGUUUCCUCCAAGCUGAGGCUGAUUGUACAGAAGCAAUCAAUCUUGAUAAAAAGGUAAGUUUCUAUCCCCAACCAAAUCUUUUAGUUGGCGUGCAGUGGGUUCUUUGCCUAAUGUUUUAUGCCAUGUAUAGCGCCCCAUCACUUUUUACAUUAAACAUGAAUCACUUGAUAGCAAAGAUGCAUAUGCAUUAUAUUUUUGUAUAGUUACCCACAUGGGUGUCCCAGUGGUAAAAGGGGUGAGCCUGGACUGAACCAUAAACUCAAGCAUACUGAUUUCCUACUCCCAAGGGUGUUAAAACACCUGGGUUUAGCUACUAACUGUGUAUCGUGUGCAUUCAGGAUUUACCCUGAAUCCUUGUGCCCAAUGAAGAAUUGGGGCAUGGGUGUUUCCCUCAUUAUCAAAAAACUAUUUUAUUUAGCUAAAGAGAAUUCUCAUAUUUUAGUUUUCAGUGUUUUUUGUCAAACUAGGUGAGUAUGCUAUGGUGGACAAUAGAAAUUCAAAGUUCUUUAUAAUUGAUUUGCAAUGCCAGUUAGUAUUUUAGGCCAUAUGGCAUUCAUUUAAGUUUUUAUCUUUAACUUGUAACAUUGAGCAUCAGGCCAUCAAAUAUUAUAGUAUAUGUUGUUGUUGCUGCUGUUUUUUCCAUGUUUGUUUGGGUUUAACUUCAACUAAUAGAGGAAUUUCUGUUUUUUGCCCUCAAAAGGUUGCCUUCAAAAGGAGUUUGCUUCCAUGGAUAUUCUUUUCCUUGACAGCUACCACAGCUUUAGUAUAUUAUGAAAUCCCCUUUUUGGACAUUUGCCUCUUAGCCAUUCCUUCCCUUGUGUAGAUGCCUUGUGCACCAGGCCAUGGUGUAUUAGAUGGAAUUAUUAUGGAAAUAUGUAUUCAUAUUGCCCUGAACAAAUGUUUCCUAUACAUUAAGAGAACUCCUUUGUAGAAAUAAUAUAUUCACUUUCUCCUUAAGCAAAAAUUUCCUCAUGUUCACCACCAAAUUGAAGAUUGUUGCUAUGUUUGACUACCAUCAACUUCAAGGAAAGGUGUCUUUUAGCAACCAGCUGAAUCACAUUUGAGCUACUGUUGGCCUAUAUGGACCUUAUUUUCUAAAAAUUAUCCUGUUUAUUUAUUUAUUUAUUUAUUUUGCAUUUCUUGUGUAAGCCAUUCAUAACAUACUCUAUUAUUUCUGGAACUCUUUACUCCAACUUUUUCCUGUGAACUAGAGGUUAAGUAUCAAAUAUACAAUGUUCUAUUAUAUGCUUGGAAGCUUUCCUAUAGGAAGUGUAUCCAGUGAAUAUUUACUUGUUUUCUGGGUCGUCCCUUUUCCAGGUAAGUAGCCUAGAUUAGUUUGCUUGGGAAUGUGACUUCCAGGUGGGAAAUAAUACCUCUGGAACCUUCAAGAGAUAAAUUAUCGAUCUCUCUGAAGAAAAGUAGUAGGUAUUUUUUCUGUAGAUUAUUUGAAGAAGCAAAGAAAAAGAUAAUUGUGAACUGGUUUCAUGCCCAUUGGAAGUUGCACAUUCGAUUCUAGUGGCCAUGGACCCAUGACCCCUUGUUCCAUGAAUUUGGUUCCAAUUAGAGCCUAUUUCCAUUUGUGGGAAAUGUCUAUCUACCGGCUAUAGCUAAUUGUGCAUACAUGGCAUGGACAAUAGCUACAUCUCCUGUGUUUCUUGUGCUGCAACUGUAUAGCUUUUGUUCUGACUUUAUCUUUCGUAGUACAAGUUUCUUGUGCUGUAAUAUGAAAUGCGUGGAGUUCUAUGUUAUUGAUACUGGCCUCUACUGUGCAGAAUGUGAAGGCCUACUUAAGGAGAGGCACGGCAAGAGAGAUGCUUGGCUAUUAUAAGGAUGCAAUUGAAGGUGAGUCGAUUCAUUGUUCAUUGAAUGGAAAUGUGCAUGGUUUGUGUUAUGUAUUUGUAUGGUUCUUCAGGCACAAACAAUUAUGGAAGAAACACAUCCUCAAAUCAGAAAAUGCUAAAUGAUACCGGUUUUCAGAUUAUAGGAAAAUUAUAACACUUGAAAUCAUUACAGAAUAAUUGCUAGUUGAAAUUGCAGUUAAAAAAAUUACCAACAGAUAGUGCUAGAUUUGAUUUCUUAUUCUUUCCAGACUACAAAUUCAUAAUACAUCUCAUUUAAGAGCUUGUUGGAGCUAUACGUUGACCAUAGUUUGCUUCUGGGGUACACAAUGCAAAUUUGUUUUGAUCCCUGAAUGUUCUUGGACUAACGUCACUUUCACCCUGCAGAUUUCAGAUACGCACUUGUUCUUGAGCCAACCAAUAAAAGAGCAUCCCUUUCUGCUGACAGACUAAAGAAGUUAUUUCAGUAAGUGAUUGAAAUAUAAUCAAGGCUUCAGGAGGCUCAGUGUCACAGAAACAGGUCUUCCUCAUUCAUUACCUUGCCUCAUUCCAUUCAGAAAGAUGAUUUUGCCAUACCUUCCCAGCAGCCCCACAGAUCUAAUUCUUUUUCUCUUGGUUAAGGCAUUGUGAAGGCCUGGAGUAGUCACUUGAUCUAGUCGCCAUUUUGGUAGCUGUAGUAUAUCACUAUUGCUGGAACUUGUAAUUAUGGUUCGAUUUUGUUUACUCUGAUAUUUACAUUCGGGUUGUAAUUCUAGCAUUGAGCUGAGGUUUUAUACUUUUGAUUUUGGUUGAGGUGAUGAAAUAAUUUUUCCCUUGAUUAGUAGCUGUUCAUAGAUUUUUAGCUCUUGAAUGAAUGCGAGGAGUCUGGUGGCUCUCCAAAAACUUCUCAAUUAAUUCUUUAGAAUGAUACCAAAAGGACAAUGUCGCUGACAGUAGGAUAUUGUCUCUAAUUUGUUUCUUGUCAGUUUUGGCAUGUUAAUUUUAAUAAUCAUACAAUCAGUAUGAAUGAUUUGGAUCUGCUGGAGAUGGGUUUAGUCUGAUAGUUGAUAAUUCUGGAUUUUUGAAUUGUUUAGCAUUGAAGUGAUUCAUAGAUCUCUCUAUUAGUUAGGGGGAAAAUCUAUGUGAAUCGAAAGGGAUUGUGAAAGAUGUUCCACUAGAAAUAUCAUCUUUCUAAAUGGAAUGGGUAAUGACUUAGGAAGAUUGUUUCCCUUAUGCCCCAUACUAACACGCACUCUGCGUUAUUUGCUUUCGGGAGGAGAUAUUGUUGAACUAACGUUCUGAUGGAUAGAUGAAGGGGUCAAGAGCAAAAUGUUGAAUGGAUAAAUGCUUGAAUUUGAAUAUUCCAAGGAGGAAAAUUCAUUGAAGAAUUUUCUUACGGUUGAAGUAGCAUUCUGAUAGCUAGAAGCGGGCAAAGAAGAAAAAGUAGAGACAUCUAGAUAAAAAUACGAGCAAACCAUAUAUCAUUAUUGGUCAGAUUUUAUACGAAUGUUUAACAUGGUUGCAUCAAUCAUAUCUAUUUCCAUCGAUUGAGUCGUUUUUACUUCAGUAAAUGUCUCUCAUUUUUUUUCGUAUCUACAUUGUAAAUUAUUUCUCUUCCUCACAUUUCUCUCUGCCACACGAAUCGUACCGUCCCGUCCCUAAUCAUUAGGGACGGGGUUUAAAUUUAAUAAACGGGUUUGGGAUGGGUAUGCGAUUUUUUUUUUAAAACCGGGGCCGGUUCAGGUAUUGCCUCAUCCUGUCCCGCUUUGUCUCGUUUACAUAUAAAAUUAAUUUUAAAAUUUAAAAUUAAUUUAAUUUAAAAUUUUAUUUUACUAUUUUUAAUAUAUAGAUAAUAAUAAAAAAUUUAAUAAAAUAAGUUAUAAAAAAAUAUAAUAAUUUUAUUAUUUAUAAAAUAUAUUUAUUUUCAUGUAAUUAAAAAAUUUAAAAGUAAUUUUUAAAAAAAAAUUAGUAAUUUUUUAAAAAAUAAUUAAAAUUUUUUUUUAAAAAAAACAAAAAUCUAAAGGGACGGGGGGACCCGUUCCGAACCCACCCCAUUGUCAUUCCUAGCCACACGUAUAAUUAGAAUUUUCCCCACCAUGACCCCUCGUGUUUACAAAGAUAACUUUUGUUAGUUUUUCAAAGGAAACAUAGACAUCCGACUUUUCUCACAAGUCACAACUGAAGAUAUGAAACACCCGGUCAAUAAAUGAAAAACGGAAGCUCGAAUUUUCCACGGGUCGACCACCUAUAAAGGGGAAUGUAAUUUAGAUGUCAGAGCAUAAUUGCUUGCCUAAAUCUUGAUUAUCGAGUAUCAACCAUAGCUCUUUCAAAAAAGACCCAAAAUGAUUGGGCGGUUGUUGCUUCAGCUGAUCAUCUUCAUACUAUGCUUGACACGAGCAUCAUCAGCUGCUCCAUCUCUAGCACAGCCUGGUUGUAACGAUGCCUGUGGAAGUGUUUCCAUUCCAUACCCGUUUGGUGUAGGGAAGGACUGCUACCUUAAUGAAUGGUUCUCUAUAAAUUGCAAACAUUCCACACCCUUCUUUACCCAUCCUAACCUCAAUGGUUCGCAGGUGAGCUCCAUUAUCACUGGAGGACGAGACUGUGGUGGUUCAAACUCCCAUAGUUGACUUCUGCAAGCUUCCUGAGUCUCAGCACACCCAAGUGUUGGAUAGUGUUGAUCUGGAAGGAAGCCCAUUUCUCUUCUCAAAAAAAGGUAACGCCGUUAGUGUGAGCGGUUGUGGCAGUGUAUCACUGCUCUCCCGGCAAGACAAAAUACUGGCAGGUUGUUCCACCAUUUGUGACAAUAACGGUUCAUGCACCGGUAUCAAUUGUUGUCGAACCACACCGCCAUCCCCACUCAAUUUCUACCAUCUGGAAACCACACUUGAUCAAAAUCAAUGAAGACUAGAAUGGCCUAAUUGUACGAUUGCUGCCUUGGGGAAUUUUAUAUUCAACUCUACAUCCUGGGCUGAGUCGCAACUGAUCUGGAGGAUUGAAGAAUCAGCAAGCGGUUACAACUGUAAUCACAACGCAUCAACAGAGUGGUCCACGCAAAAUGUUUCCAGUUAUAAAUGUUUAUGUUGACCUUACGAGGAGGGGAACCCUUAUCUACCCCAUCCCCAUGGAUGCCAAGGUAAGCUCUUCUCUUUAUUAUAAUCUUUUGUGUGCAUGUACGAGGAGAAAUCAUAUCAUAUGCCUCUAGAGGUGCAGAUUGGAUGGAUUAGCUGAACCAACCCGACAUUUGGGUCUGUUUGAAUUAGGUUUUUUCAACCCGAAAUCAAUCCGAAUUGAGUUCGGGUUAAGGUUUAGAUAGCCCGAGUAUAACUCAAAUCCGAUUUAAUAUUCUUAUAAUAUCAUAUUAUUAAUAAUAUUUAUUUUCUGUUUAUAUUAUUAACCAAAAAUAUCAUAUUAUAUUAUAUCAUAUCAUAUAAUUUGUUAAUUAUUUUAGAAAAAUAUAUAAAAUGUAUGUUUUUUUUAGAUCUUGAAAGUUUGUCUUAUUUAUUAUUUAAAUUUUCAUAUAAAUACAUAUAAAAAUAAUAUUUAAAAAUUAUUAUAAAUAAAUUUUAAAUUAUGCAAUUGAUCAACCCAAAUCUAACUCAAUUAAUAUGUGAACAACUCUAACUUAACCCAAGGUUAGAGAAAUAAUAAUGAAUUGAGCUUGAGUUGGCAUGUUGGCAUGUCAACUUAAAAGUCAGAUUGGAUCUGGGUGUAUUGUUUCUUAAUUUGGUCUUGGGUCAAACAUCAAGCUAACUAACCUGCCUAAGUUGUAACCUAUCCAUAGAAAUAUUACACUACCUUUAUUUUCUCAUGUUAUUCAAUCACCCAAUAAAAUAAAAUAAAAUAGAGAUUAAUACAAAUUUUAAUUAUCAUUUUCAUAUUUGUCUUAAUUGUUGAAGCAUGUUCAAACUGCAAAGAUAGAUGUCGCAAGAGAGAGUUCUCAUCGAACUCAUCAACGGAAGGUAGUGAGUUCUUCUGUGCAAAUGAAUUCUCCACCUCACUAAAAGCUUUGAUUAUAGGUAAAUAAUGAUGAUCUACAUUUUUCUUUUAGUUGGUCUCGUGUGUUUUCUUUUACUUGUUUUAUAUGCUUGUCUAUUAUAAUAUCCUAUAUCUCAUUUUAGAAAUCAACAUAAAUUAUUUUAUAAAAAUGAAAUAAUUCAUAUAAAAAUACACGAGAUUUUAAUGUGGUUCGAUUAGACAUGCUUAUAUCUAUCGAGAGAGAAUUAGUUCACAAUAUCAUUUGAGUAUUUCUCAUUUUCUCUAUUUACCUCGUAUAGUCUUUACAAGUCUAUUUUCAUCUUAUAAUUUUUUUCUGCUCUUACCCAAGAAUAUUUAUAAAGAUAUUCUAAAUAACUUUAUAUAUCUUACAAGAAAUUUAAUAUUACAAUGACAUAUGAAUAUAAAAUAAUAUUUCAUACAGUAUUCUUGAUACAAAAUGAACUAAUUAGAAAUUCAAAACACUUUUCGAACAAUAUUUUAAUAUUUGAUAUUUUUAAAAUAAAAAUAUAUUGUAUCUCAAUGUUUAUGUUAAAAAAUAUUAAUGAAAUAUUAUUUGUCAUAUUUAUUAUUAUUUGGAAAUCAUUCAUUAAUUGAUAAUUUUGUAAGUAAUUUUUUUAUUUCUUUGUUAAUAAUAUUUAUAAUUAAAAUUUUUAAAAUUUAAAAAAAAUUAUAUUAUGUUAUUAAAUAAUAAUUAUUUUUUGUGUGUAUAUAUACAAUUGAGGGUUUUAUUGUACUAGAAUCAAUUUGAAAGAAAAAAGAGAAGAUAUGUUGCACUUGUUAUAGGACCCAAUACUCCAUUUGAUUUUGAGCAUCUAUUGCCAUUUUCUUAGGUGCCAAACAAAAGAAGAGGUUUAUAAUAGAUACCAAAGCCCAUAUAGGUUGAUGACAGGAACAAAGACAAUAACAAUAAGAAACUAAGCAGGUUUUCUUGCAUUUUAAACAAUGAUGUAAUUGUUUUGCAUUUUUCUUAACUUAGCAGGUUUAAGCGUUGUUGGAGGAUCCUUGUUUCUACUCCUAGGGAGCUUUUGGUUGUAUAAAGUACUUAAGAAAAGGAGGGAAAUCAAACUGAAAAAACAAUUCUUUAAACAAAAUGGUGGUUUGUUAUUACAACAACAAAUAUCUUCUAAUAAAGUUGUUGAAAAAACAAAGAUUUUCACUACAGAAGAGUUGGAGAAGGCAAUAGACAAUUUCAAUACAAACAGAAUUCUUGAUCAAGGAGGUCAAGGGACGGUUUAUAAAGGUAUGUAAUUAGCUAACGGAAAUAUUGUAGCAAUCAAAAAAUCAAAAAGGGUCGACAACAAUGAAGUGGAACAAUUCAUUAAUGAGAUUGUGAUUCUUUCUCAAAUCAACCAUCGGAAUAUAGUCGGGCUAUUAGGGUGUUGUUUGGAAACUGAGGUACCUUUAUUAGUUUAUGAGUUCGUCUCCAAUGGCACAUUGUUUCAACUUAUUCAUGAUCAAGGUGAGUUCCCAUUUUCUUGGGAAACACGUUUACAAGUUGCUAAUGAAGUAGCAGGAGCACUAGCUUACUUACAUUCAACGUCUUCCGUCCCUAUUUUAUCAUAGGGAUGUUAAAUCCGCUAAUAUACUUUUGGAUGAUAAGUAUAAAGCAAAAGUUUCAGAUUUUGGAACAUCAAGAUCCAUCUCCAUUGAUCAGACUCACUUGCCUACCAUUGUACAAGGAACUUUUGGUUACUUGGAUCCGGAAUAUUUUCAAUCCGAUCAAUUCACUGAAAAAAAAGUGAUGUCUAUAGUUUUGGAGUUGUUCUUGUUGAGCUUUUGACGGGACAAAAGCCGAUUUCUUUAUUAAAAUUAGAAGAACGAAAAAGUUUGGCAAUACAUUUUAUUUUAUCACUGGAGGAGAAUAAUCUAUUUGAUAUUCUUGAUGCUCGAGUUUCAAAAGAAGGCCAAAAAGAGGAGAUCAUGGCAAUCGCUAACCUUGCAAGUCGAUGCUUGAACUUGAAUGGGAGAAAAAGGCCAACAAUGGGAGAAGUAGCAAUGGAGUUGGUGCAUAUCAGAACAUCUUCUUUGCCAUUGAAUACUAAAGAAAAUGUCAAAGAGGAUGAAGCUAUUAUAAUUGACAUAAGUGGGCCUUUAGAUAGUGUUUUAACAUCAACAAUGACAAUGCAGUUCAACUAGGUCGGGUGGGUCUUUUUGGGUAUCCGUCCUGUCCCGUCCCUAAUAGGACGGGGUUUAAUUUUAAUAAACGGGUUUGGAAUGGGAUUAAGAAUUUUUUUAAAAACCCAGGGUAGGUUUGGGGCGGGCUCGGGUAUUGCUCCACCCCCACCCCAAUUAUAUAUAAAAUUAAUUUAAUUUAAUUUUUAUUUUACUGUUUUUAAUAUAUAGAUAAUAAUAAAAUAUUUUUAAUAAAAUAUUUUUAAUAAAAUAAGUUAUAAAAAAUAUAAUAAUUUAAUUAUUUAUAAAUAUAUUUAUUUUAAUAUAAUUAAAAUUUUUAAAAGUAAUUUUUUUAAAAAAAUUAAAAUUCAAAAAAAAGCUAAACGGGUGGGUAUGAGAAUUUAUCAUACCCGCUUGCCCCGCCCCUCCCCGUUUAAUUUUUUAAAUGAGAUAGGGAUGAGAAUUGUUUCUAUUAAACGGGACAGGGUUGGGAUGGGGACGACCCGUCUCGAACCCGCUCCGUUGCCAUCCCUAAGUUCGUCUACAAAAAAACAUUCUUAUUAGAUGUUCAACCACUACUAUUUAACACGUGAUAAUGAGGCAGUUAAAUCAUGUUUCAUUUUUUAAGUUGUAAUAUUUUACUAUCAUGAACCAUUUCUUUGUUAAUAUGCACUUAAUACUAAUGUAAAUUAGAUAUUUGAUUUCUUUAAAUGCCAACUAUUUAUAUAUGUUACAUUUUAAUAGUUCAAUUUAAUUUCAAAAUGAAGAUUGAUGUGGGUCCAUGACAUUGGAGGAUAAAGGAAGGUAUUCCAUCUUGGUGGUGGAGACAAUAUUAAUAUCAUGAUCAAUAAAUAUAAAAUAAUCCAAUUUUUAAUUAAAUUACUAGAUUUUGAAUAUAAAUAUUUUAUUAUUAGUUUCUUGAUAUUGUAAAAUCAAUUUUUUUCAAAAAAAAAUUAUAUCUUAAUGGGUUUAUAAAUCAAUAAAAUUGAACUUUCUUUUAAACAAAGUUUUUUUUUAUUGAUUCCCUAGUAUAAUAAAAUUACAAUUAUCAUUAAACUAUAUUUUAUUGAUUUAUAAAAAUUCUUCUUCAUAUUAGAGACAAAAAAAAAAAAAACUAAACAAUGUAAAGUACGUUAAAUAAUAUUUUUAUUUUUAUUUUUAAUUUCUAUGGGUGAAUCUUUUAAAUGCAAUUGCUAGUUCUUGAAAUAAAUUAAAAAAUAAUAAUUAAAAAAAAAAAGGCUUUUGAUUUAUGCAGGCUUGUAUGGACAGGUGUACACGGUAUGCUAAGAUUAUUUCCCUUCACGCGGUAAGAUGAUUUAAAAUUUCUGAAAAUCGGAGAAGGUUGAAAGUCAAACAACAUGAAGGGUUGAAGCAAUCCAACUGUGUUUUUAGAUAUUUUAUAAGGGGAGCCCCUAAUCUCUGACCAGCAAAAAAUUGUUUAUUCUUUGGAGAUGGUGGAGCUGUGGGUUCAUCGGUCAUCACAUGAGCCAACUAAUCUAAUGUCCUACCCUCCCAAAGAAGACGAAUACCACUUUGAAGAUCUUCGGCUGAAGAAAUGAAUGUGAAGUCUGUGCUUCUGCUCAUCUCCUUACUAUGGCUAACAACUGCGUCAACAGCUACUCCCUCCAUGGCAAAGCAAAACUGCCAAGAACGAUGCGGAGAUGUUACCAUUCCAUACCCAUUUGGAAUAGGGAAAGAUUGCUACCUUAAUGAGUGGUUUGCAGUCAACUGCAACGAUUCUUUUAAUCCUCCAACGCCAUAUUUGAGUCAUCCUGAGCUCAAUCUGAAGCUGACGUUUGUAUCACUGGCUUACCAACUGGUCACUGUUAUCAGCCCCAUGGCUGUCUACUGUCAAGACCAUGACAGGAAUAGAUCGACAUGGAAGGGCAUUGAUUUGAGUAAAACCCCAUUUUUUUACUCAGAAGGUAACGCACUGAGGGUGGUGGGUUGUGCCAAUUCGGUCCUGAUCACGCGUCAAGGUACCAUCUUAGCAGGCUGCUCUUCCAUUUGCGAUAACAGCUCUAGUGUUCUGAGCAAUGGUUGCUACGGGAUCAACUGUUGCAAAACCACAGUUCCAUCCAAUCUUGAUUUCUAUAUUCUGAACACCACAUGGAGUACAAAUAUGGGCACAGAAUUGAAUUGUACGUAUGCUGCCUUCGGUAGAAAUUUCAUUUUGAGGGGGAAGUCUUCAGGUUCAGGUAUGGAAUAUGAGGCUUCAUCGGAGGGAGAAAUGAUCUGGAUGAUAAAAGAAUCGGUGGAGGGCAGUGAUUGUCACAAAAACACAGUCCCUGACGGGGCACUGGGAAAUCAUUCUUAUUAUUCUUGCUCCUGUCCGGCUUACCAAGAAGGGAACCCUUAUCUACCCAAUGGAUGCCAAGGUAAGACUCCAUUAAAGCCUGUUCAUCCACGAAUUUUAGAGAUAUAUGUCUUUGUAUAUUAGGGUUUGAUCAAUCCAUGAUGACCCUUUCUUGAUCAUCAAUCUAACUAUGCAUAACAAAUAUAUAAUCAUUCACAUGACAUUAUUCAUUUGUCAGGCCUUUUGAACAUUUGGUUUGAAGAGAUCAAAAAAUUAUUUUACUAAUUUGGUUAAUUUAAGUUAGAAGUUGUUGAUUGUGACCAAAGGAUGAUAAAAUUUUCAUGUUACAGUUGUUGAAGUAUGUGCAAACUGCAAAGGAAGAUGUCUAACCAGAAUUGACGGUCGUUUCUUCUGCGAUGAAAGAUCUUUGGCUUCAAAAUUUUGGAUUCUAGGUAAUGAUAUGCUUCUCUGGUUUAAUAUGUGUUUACUAAAUCAUCAAUGUAGAAUUUCUUAGUCUCAUUGCCCAAAAAAAAUACCCCUAACAAUUUUAAAUAUGUAAAGGGUAAUAACCGAAUCUCAAUUAUGUAGAUAUUGUCGGUCCUUAAAUUCAGAAUUGACAAUAUCUAUCCGAUUUGACAUAGUAUAUUUUCAAAAUUCUCACAAUUUCUCACUUUUUUUUAACUAAGUUUAUCUUUCCUUUGGUUAGUGAAACUCUGUAUCUUUUUUUUUCACUUAAGUGUUGAGUUGAACCAAUUUGAAUAUAUGAUAUGAGAAUGUCAAAAUUCGAACUUUCUUGAUACAUUUUAGUAAUAAAGGUUAUCUUUUCAUUACUUGUGAGAUGUGCAGGUAUUAGCCUAGGUGGGGGAUUGUUGUUUCUACUUCUUGGAGGGUUCUGGUUAUAUAAAGUUUUAAGGAGAAGGCGAAAGAUCAAACUCAGAGAACAGUUCUUCCAGCAACAGUUAUUACAACACCAAAUGUCUUCUAAUGAAAUCAGCAUUGAGAAUACAAAAAUAUUCACUUUCAAUGAAUUGAAGAAGGCAAGUGACAACUUCAAUGAGAAUCGUAUUCUUGGUCGUGGAGGUCAAGGAACGGUUUAUAAAGGUAUGUUGACUGAUGGAAGAAUCGUAGCCAUUAAGAAGUCAAAAAUAGUUGAUGAGAGUCAAUAUGAGCAAUUCAUCAAUGAGAUUGUGAUUCUUUCCCAACUUAAUCAUAGAAAUAUAGUAAAGCUAUUGGGAUGUUGCUUGGAGAUAGAAGUUCCCUUAUUAGUUUACGAGUUUAUCUCGCACGGAACUCUAUUUCAGCUUAUUCAUGAUGAAAACAAUGAGUUGCCAUUUUCUUGGGAAAGGCGCUUGGAGAUUGCCACAGAGGUAGCAGGAGCACUUGCUUACUUACAUUCUGCCUCUAGUACACCUAUUUUUCAUAGAGAUAUCAAGUCUAAAAAUAUACUCUUAGAUGAGAAAUAUAGAGCAAAAGUGGCAGAUUUUGGGACAUCGAGGUCUGUUUCCAUUGACCAAACUCACUUGACUACUCUUGUGCGAGGGACUUUCGGCUACUUAGAUCCAGAAUAUUUUCGAACAGGACAAUUCACUGAAAAAAGUGAUGUAUAUAGUUUUGGAAUUGUUUUGGUUGAGCUUUUAACGGGCCAAAAGCCGAUUUCUUCAACAAGAACCGAAGAAGAGAGAAGCUUAGCAAGUUAUUUUAUUUUGUCAAUAGAGGAGACAAACUUAUUUGAUAUUCUUGAUGCUCAAGUUGUGAAGGAGGGUGGAGAAGAGGAGAUAAUGGCUGUUGUUAACGUUGCAACACAAUGUUUGAAUUUGAAUGGGAAGAAAAGGCCUACAAUGAAGGAAGUAGCCUUAGAGCUAGAGAGGGUCAAAUCUCAUCUGCCUCUACAUGUUCGAGGACAUUUUGAAUUAGCAGAGUAUAUUAGAACUGAAAUAAUUGGGCCUUCGGAUUGUGCUUCUUCUUCAACAGGGUCAGGUUUGACAUAUAGAAAUACUCCUUCAUUGAAUGAAAAUUCAUCAUUUUCUAAUACACUAUAAUGAUAUGAUUAGACAAUGAUUCUAUUGUAAGGAUUCUCUAUUAGCUAGCUGUAUGCUACGGACUUAGCUUAUUUUCUAAGCUCACAUACGACACUUAUUUUAAGUAGAUUGUGACAUGUAUCUUUAAAACACUUCUAUCUCAUUCAUGUAGAUAUACUUAUUUUCUUUCUUAUGAUAUUUAUGGUAUGAUCUUUCAAUAUAUUACCAUUCAAUUAAUUUUCGUUUCUAUUGCAAAAGGGGCACAAGCUUUAUGCAGAAACUGAAUUCGAGUUGGGCUUUUGUUAGUUAGUUUCUUAAAAUUGGUUUCAAAACCUUGAGCCCAUGGGCAGGCCUCAUGUAAAUGAGCAUUGAUCUUUUCCAUUACCACCCAAUAUUUUGCAACCCAAGCCAGAGCCCAGUACAAGCUAUGUUUUUUGGUCAUGUACAAGCUUCUUUGAAAUGCCCAAAACAAUAUUUCAUCUUCCAUUUUCUUCUUGAUUGGCCUUUUAAGGUAUGGAAAGUUCUCUUCUAGACCUUGAGCUCAUCCAAAUAUGAUAAUGAUGAAAUUUGUAAGGAUGAUCUUAAUUUCUCCAAUAUUAGUAACUGAAUGGAUUCCCAGUCCCCCAUUUGGAUCAACCAAACAGGAGGCAGAUGAUGGCUGCUUCCAUGAACAAACUUGAUCUCCCAAUGGUAUGAGAUUGUUAUAAUACCUUCAUAUGAUUAUUGAUCAAUGACAGCAUCCUUAGAAUUAAAUCCUUGAAUGAGUUAGAACUGAUGAAAUGCUGGGAUGCUGACUACCAUGAAACCUUGAGGCUGAGGCUCAUAUUUGAACACCCCAAAUGGACCAAUUUUCAGCUAACAAUCAGAACUUAAGAUAAGCUUUUGGAGGCCAUUAGAAGCUGUAAAUGUAUGGGAUAAGUGCGAGAGGAAGAUGAGGAUGUUGUAACAUAUCACUUUCUCCCAUUCUUAUCAUAUGUUGACUUGUCACAUGUCCAAUGCCAAUGGGCUCUUAUUUUUAGGCAUCAAACCAUCUACAAGCAUAUUUUCUUACCAAAUAAGCCUCAUGAACAAGAACUUUUCAGCAUAUUUUUAUGAAAUGACUUAAAGGCAUGAAAACUUGCGAAAACACAUGUAAACAUGCUUAGGUCAAAUAAUUAUCCCCUAUGGAGCCCUCAUAGAUUUCAAUUGACCAGUCAAAAAUUCCCUAAGCAGUGAACAAUUUUCCCAAUUAUAAACAUGGCAUGCACGUCACCUCAUAAUUUCUUCAUCACCUUUCCUCCUCCUCAUUGUAGUGUUAGAAGCACAACCAUCAAAUGGGUAUUAUAUCAAACUGAAAAUAUCAAUCAUUGAAUAGUAAAAUUGAAUGGUUAAUGAAGAUAUAAAGAAAUAAUAUUUGUACAAAAUUAAAAAAAAAAAAAAAAAGUGAUUGGACUUUUUUACCUAAUGUGAAGGUAAAAAGGGUAGUCUUUGGGGUUUUAAACUUUUUACCCCUUCUUCACCCAUCUCCAUAAAGCAAUCUUUUGAGCCAUGGAUGACAUAGAAUGAAGGAAGACCCACUUGGUGGCCCUGAAAACAAAUCUUGGGUUCACCUUUUCACCGAAAGGUAAAAUCUUAGUUUAAUAAUUAAUUUAUGUGGGUGAGUGCCUAGAAGUGAUAAAAUCUAAGCAAGCAUGCGUUGAAGUUAAUGAUGGGUGUGGCAAAGAAUGAAAGGUUUUUUUUUUAAUAGAAAGAAAAAAAAAAGAUUGGGUUGUAAGGCUGAGAGGUGUCUUGAAAUUGAAAACCCCAAGCACCAUGCUCAAGUGCACGCAUUGCAACAGUGGUUAUGUUUUCAAAGAGUACAAAGUGCAUGAAUUUUAUUAGUUUAAAGCUUUUUCUGUCUUAUCCUCACCAACCCCAUUUUUGAAUUGGAUUUCUAUGCAGAUUUUUUUUUUAAUUAUUAUUUAAGAAAUGGUGGCACUGGUGAAUGCAACCUUGAUGAGUUAUUUUUUCACUGGUCCACUUUUAUUUUAGCACAUGUAAUUUAAAAUAUUAAGGCAAUGUUUGGUUGCACGUAAAAUCAAGGGAAAAUAUAUUAAAAAAAAUUAAUAAAUUAUUUUUAUUUGUUAUUUUAAACUUAUUUUAUUUAUUGAUAUAAAAAUUAAAUAAAUUUAAAAUAUGUAAACUUUUAAUUAAUUUUAAUUUUAUUUGGUAUUUUUGAAUAGUAUAAUUAAAUAUGAGAAAAUAAUUUUCUUUAAUAUUUGUUUUUUUUAACUAUUUUUUGAGAACCAAACACAUUUUAAAUAUUUUUCAUGUUAUCUUAUUUUUUUAAUAUAUUUAAAAUUUAAAUGAAUAAAAAAUAUCAUUUCAACUAUAUAUUUUAUAUAAAAAUUAGAUAAUUUAUUUUCCUAUAACAAGCCCAAAAAUUAACAAUGGAUUUUAAUUAACUAGAAAAAAAAGUACAUUAAACUUUAUUUAAUGUGGAAUUAAUUUAUAUUUUUUUUUCAAUGGGAUGUUGAUGGAAUGUGGGUUACCUGAGUAAUGUCUUUAAAAAAAAUUAAAGUAAAAAAGAGAAGGUGAGAAGGCUGCUAUUUAUUUAUUUAUUUAUUUUUGCAUUUUGUGUGUGAACGUGGGAUUAAAAAAUGAAAAGAAGACAGUGAUUGGACCAAUGAGACGAACGUGUGAUUAGAAGGGAGAAAGGAACGGUGAGUGCACCGAUAAGAAGUCUAAACUCCAAAACCUCAAAAAAGAAAAGAAAUAAUAAUAAUAAUAAUAAUAAUUUUAAUAGGGUUUUAUUUUUCCCAUUUAAUAGAAAAAAAAGAUAAAUAAAUUCUAAGAAGCAUGUUGGAAAAGUUUAUUGAAUUUAAAGUUUAUUUUUUAUUUUUUUUUUUUUAUUUUUUUCUCAAUUUUUGUUAUAUAUUUUCUUGUAAGUAAGGGUAGUAGAUUCGAGAGAAAGGACUUUAGAAUCGAUUGAUUAUUCUAAUUUUAAAAUGUUUCAACAAGUAAAUGAAUAAGAUAUGAUGAUUGAAAUUAUGACAAUUAAGAUGGUCGAUUGAUUCUAAUCUUUUCCCCCAAUCUACUACUCUUAAUUAAUUGUAGUUCGAAACAAUUUUUCUUAAAUUUUUCAUCCAAAUGAAGUAUUAGAUGUGCUUUUUUCUACUCUAAAAUAAUAUUUUAGUUUUAAAAACACAUUCUAUAAAUUUUAGAACGAAAACAAUUUUUAAAAAAUGGGGUUAUCUUAUAAAAACAAAUUUGAUAUAAUUUUAGUAAUUUUUUAUAAAAUAUUUUAAGAAAUAUAUAUAUAUAUUUAAAAAAAAAAAUCUAAAACAUUACAUCAUGCAUAAAAAUAAUGUACCUUCAUAAGAAUAAGAAUUCAAUCCCAAAAUAACAUAUCAUGCCAAACACACAUGUAUUAUUUUUCUAUAUUUCAUCCAGACGCAUCCUUCCAAAACACGACUCUUGAAAAGAUCUUUUGGUCUAUAUAAUUUCCUUCUUAAUUACUUCUAUUCCAUGAUAUGAUGCAAUGCAUGAUCAAUGCUUAAUUUUCUUUGGCGGAAUGCAAGGGACUUGACACUUGGGACUUGCGGUUUGGAGCCUUCCCAAUCGAAGUACUAGCUAUGAAGAAACCCAUGGAACUUGUAUUUAGUCAUUGUCUUGGAUUGCCUCAUCUUAUUUUAAAUGCCUUGCAACUCCAUCUCUAAUUUUAUAAUUUUCAAUUUUUUUUUAUUAUUUCGACUCUAAAGCCGUCUUUGAAUUAUUUUCUAAAAUAAUUCUAAAAGCUGAUUUUUAAAAAUUAUUUUAUGAUAUUUUAGUGAACAAAAGUUAAUUUGAGAACUUAAAAUUUUCUUAACAUAUUUCUUAUAUUUUUAAAAUUAAUUUUAUAUGCAGUGUUUUAUUUUUAAUUAUUUUUUAUAUUUGUAUAAUUAUGUUUUAAAACAAUCACAAAACAAAUGAAAUAAUUGAAAGUGUUAUCUAAAAACAUCAUAUUUUUUAUUUUUUAAAAAUAAAAAUCGAUUUUCUUUUAUAUAAUUAAUAAACAUGCUUUCCUUUUUUUUUGUUUUAAAAAACAUAAAACCUUUUUAAAAAUUAGUUAUUAAAAAAAGGCCUAACCAUGGCCAAAAUAAUAUUCAUUUAUUAAUUUGUCUUGGACACUCUUAGUCGAAGGUACCAAAAAUUAGUAUCUUAUACCCCAUAAUAACUUCUAUAGAAUCCUAGAAAACAGGAAUGGACUAAUUUCUAUUGCCAAAGGAGUUCUAACUUCUGACUACUAUACCGGAGCCAAAGUCCUAACCAACCCAACCCCACCACACCACCGGACUUGGCUUGAACUGGGGUGGCCAGGUGGUCUGCUAGUUAGAAUUGGGCUUGGGGUGGCGUCACCUUCCUGACUCAAAACGCCAAGUUGAAGCCUUAGCAGGUUUCCAGUAGCAUGUAUGGCGCGGAAUGGUGAUGGGGUAGGGUCUACAUGAAAGGCUUGCAAAUCCUCGCAUACUUAUCCUUCUCCUGUCUUCCAAUCUUAGCCCAGCCCCUUUGACAAGCGCGUAGCCCAAAAAUGAUUAAUCGCCCCCAGUCAGUGGGCAACGAGGAGACCAAAGAAUUUUUACUAGUAAUACUUCUAAUUUAACAAAACAAAAAGAAAGGGAAAAAGAGAGAAUAAAACAUAAAAACACAGCCACAGCCCAUCCACGGCCCAUGAGCAAGAAAAGAGAAUCCAAGAAGAAAGAGGGGAAAAAGAAGCAAGAAGGGGUGGAGGGUCUCUGCAAAGCUUAAAAAAGGUCUCCAAACAAGUACUUAGAGACACACCACCUCCAACCAAAUUGCUUUUUCUACACUUUCUACUACCAUUAAUUCAUAGGAGAUAGAGCCAUACACCACCUUACCAAGUUAUCAAUAGCAAUACCUCAUCCCAAAUCCAAACAAAGCUCAAAACAAAAAGCAAAAAACAAAGGGGAAAAAAAAAGGGAGGUCUGUGCUUUGGGGACUGCAAGUGCAAGCUUGCUCGCAACUCUCAAAGCUGUAUUGUAUAGUGAAAAAUAUUGCUGUAUUCUGCUUCUUACCCACUACCCCAAAAACCCAAACACAUGCUCCUCCAUUACAUUAAACUUUCUCACUACCACCACCUCCUCCUUCACCACCACCACCACCACCACCACCACCAACAGUAUCAUCAUCUUCUUCAUCUCAUCUUUCUUCUUCCUCAGAGUCUGCAGUAGAGAGACUAUCUUGCUUGAGGAAUUCAAGUGAGCCAAGAUGAUUAGUUUAUUAGACUUCUACCAUGUCAUGACUGCAGUGGUUCCACUCUACGUGGCCAUGAUCUUAGCUUAUGGGUCGGUGAAAUGGUGGAAGAUCUUCACUCCAGACCAGUGCUCCGGUAUAAACCGAUUUGUUGCUCUCUUUGCUGUUCCUCUUCUCUCCUUCCACUUCAUCUCCACCAACGAUCCUUAUGCCAUGAACUUCAGAUUCAUAGCUGCAGAUACCCUUCAGAAGAUUAUAGUCUUGGCAGUGUUAGCUGUGUGGAGUAAUGUGAGCAAAAGGGGUUGCCUAGAAUGGACUAUAACACUCUUCUCUCUUUCCACGCUUCCAAACACUCUGGUGAUGGGCAUUCCUUUACUGAAAGGAAUGUAUGGAGAGUAUUCUGGUAGCUUAAUGGUCCAAAUUGUUGUACUUCAGUGCAUCAUAUGGUACACUUUGAUGUUAUUUCUGUUUGAAUAUAGAGGUGCAAAGAUGCUCAUCUCUGAGCAGUUCCCAGAUACUGCUGGCUCGAUUGUGUCCAUCCAUGUGGAUUCUGAUAUCAUGUCAUUGGAUGGAAGGCAAGCCUUGGAAACUGAGGCUGAAAUUAAGGAGGAUGGGAAGCUUCAUGUCACUGUGAGAAAAUCAAAUGCUUCAAGAUCAGAUAUAUUCUCCAGAAGGUCACAGGGGUUGUCGUCUACCACUCCACGGCCAUCGAAUCUAACAAAUGCAGAGAUAUACUCGUUACAGUCCUCACGAAACCCAACUCCAAGAGGGUCCAGUUUCAAUCACACUGAUUUCUACUCAAUGGUAGCGGGUGGGCGCAAUUCAAACUUUGGUUCAUCUGACGUGUACGGCCUGACCACUUCGAGAGGCCCAACGCCGAGGCCUUCCAAUUAUGAAGAAGAUGGUAACAACAACAACAAGAUCAGAUUUCACUACCACGCUCAGGGUGGUAACCAUUACCCGGCACCCAACCCAGGCAUGUUUUCGCCGACUGGGUCCAAAAAUGUUGCUUCUGCUGCUGCUGCUAAGAAGCCUAAUGGCCAAGCUCAGCAGAAGCCAGACGAAGGAACUAGGGAUCUUCAUAUGUUUGUUUGGAGUUCAAGUGCUUCUCCUGUUUCAGAUGUGUUUGGGGGCCAUGAAUACGGAGCCAAUGAUCAGAACGUGAAAGAGAGAGUGGCAGUGUCUCCCGGAAAAGGUAGUUUUUUUUUCCUUUGCCAUGUUUCUUUGAUUUAGAUUUGUAUUUGUUGAGUUUUCAAUCAUUUUUUCUUGCGGGUUUGGAUUAUCAGUGGAGGGUCACAGAGAGAAUCAAGAAGAUUACUUGGAGAGAGACGAUUUCAGCUUUGGAAACAGGGUGUUAGCCCAAGAGAUGAACAACCACGAAGGUGAAAAAGUGGGAGAUGGAAAAGCCAAAGCCAUGCCUCCAGCUAGCGUCAUGACUAGACUCAUCCUGAUAAUGGUUUGGAGAAAGCUCAUCAGAAACCCCAACACUUACUCAAGCUUAAUAGGCCUUAUUUGGUCUCUAGUUUCAUUCAAGUGCGUGUCUCUUCUCUGUUGAUUCCCCCAUUAAACCCAUUAGAUUCUUGAAGACUUUUCCAAGUUUUCCUUCAUUUUUCAGUAUUUGAACCGUUGUAAUUUCUGGGCUUUUGUCUUUUUACUAAUAUUUUCUUUGUGGGUUUCUUGUAGGUGGAAAGUUCAGAUGCCUGCUAUUAUAGAAAAGUCCAUUGCCAUACUGUCAGAUGCAGGGCUUGGCAUGGCCAUGUUCAGUCUAGGUCAGUAACUUGAAUCAAAAUUCUCUCUCUCUCUCCCUCCCUUUCCCAAUCUUUUCUGAUUCUCUCUCCUUACUUUUUCAUAAUUAAAUUUUCAAGAAAAGCAAACAAAGCAAAGCAACAAACAGUGUUCUCAUAAUAACAUGUCUGCAUCUUUCCAUAAAAAUGUUUGGUUAUACGGGGGGUAAUGGUAAUGGGAGGUUGUGGGGGUGAUGAUGAAAGGUCUUUCAAAGUGUCUGGUGGUGACUGACAGUGGUUUGUGGGUGUGGUGGUGAUGGCAUUGAUUGAUGACAGGUCUGUUCAUGGCUUUGCAACCAAGGAUCAUAGCAUGUGGAAAUUCCAUAGCAGUUUUUGCCAUGGCCGUGAGAUUCCUUACAGGCCCAGCUGUCAUGGCAGCUGCUUCCAUUGCUGUUGGGCUUCGCGGAGUCCUCCUGCGCGUUGCCAUUGUCCAGGUCAUUCCUUUCUUUCUCUACCUUUUGAUUCCUUUCCUCUCUCCCUCCUUUUCUUUACUUUGCUUGCUUGCCUCCUCCUGACACAACCAAUCCUACUUAACUCUCCAAGCUUCAAUCACUUUAAUCCUUUAAAAAAACACACACACAGAGAUUGCUCCUUUCAGAUAAGUUUUUUUAUUAUUUCCCUUUCAAUUUACCUUUGUCAAAAGACUCUACACAGUACCCACCUUUUAUUUAAUGUCAUACUUGAAAAUACCAACAAAAUGCACACAAAAACAGAAAAAAUAUUUAUACAUUAAUUAAUCCAAACUCUGAAUAUUUAUACUUUGACCCACUAUCUAUUGGCAUUUUUUUUUCUCCUCAUAUGCUUGGAUUGACAAGCUUUGAAAAACAGGCAGCUUUACCCCAAGGAAUCGUGCCCUUUGUCUUUGCUAAAGAAUACAAUGUACACCCUGAUAUUCUCAGCACAGGGUGAGUAUAUUUUCUCGCUAAAACACAAGAUUUUUCUUUUUUUAGCUUUCCGACUUUUCUUUUUCUAAAGUGUGGUUGAAUGCACUGCAGAGUCAUAUUUGGGAUGUUAAUUGCAUUGCCCAUUACACUUGUCUACUACAUUUUACUGGGAAUAUGAAAAGAGGAGGAUGCAUACGGCUUGGCAUCUUAUGCAAAAAGGCUCAGCCAGGUCCAUUGCUGCACCAGAAACUUGGACGGGGAAACCAGAAGGAAGAUGAUGAAGAAACUGGACCAUGGAUGGAUCUUUUCUUAUGGAUUGUCUCUUUUAGUAAAGUUGUAAAAUCAUGUUUGUAGUCAAUUUAAAAAAAAAAAAAAAGAAAAAAAGAAGAAAAAAAAAUCUCUCUAGUUAAGUAUAACUUCUCUUCCUUCUAUUCCAAGAAUUUAUUCUAUUUUCAAAGCAAAAGAGAAAGAAAAGUGGUUGAUGUGAUGAUAUGCUCUUGCAUUCAAUUUACACCAAUGUUGUGUUUGGCCUCCAAGAAUCUUAUUAGUUCUAGUUGGGUUUGAAGAGGAUAUGCUUCCCAAGGCCCUUUUGAUAUUCUUGACUUGUAAACAAUCAAAUGUAGGGUGAUGGUUAAGGCAAAGGGCAGGAUGCAUAUAUAUGAGGUAUGUUUGUUCAUGGAUUUGAGUGUAGCUUUUUUGAUUUAUUAUUAUAAAAAAAACUUUAAUCAACCUCAAUUUGUCGCAUUCAUAAAAUUAGGUAACCUUAAGCGACAAUUCUUCGCAAAUUUUACGCUAAUUUUGUAUUUAGUUUUCACAAUCUAGCUAGUACAAGUUGGGUUUGAUGGGAUUUUAUUGGCAAAGGCUUUUAAUUUUCCUUUUGAUUUGAAGAAAAUGAAAUGUAGGUCCAUGGUUAAGAUAAAGGGAUACAUGAGGGGUAGUGUUUUUUCAUGGAUUUGAGUGUUCAAUUUUAUUUUGUUGUUAACACAAGUAAACAUUGAUUAACCAUAAUUUUGUCACACUCAUAAGUAGGUAGCCUUAAGUUAAGGAUGACUCUCUUACAUAAUUUUGCACUAAUUUUGUGUUUGGUUUCCUAGAAUCUUAUUGGUACAAGUAGGGUUUGAAGUGGGAUAUCCUUGCUAAGUGCCUUUAGUUUGCUCUUCACUUGAAGACAAUUUAAUGUAGUGUCAUGGUUAAGGUAAAGGGACACACAAGGGGCACAUGUUUCCAUGGAUUUGAGGGUUCAUGUUGAUUUUGUUAACAUAAAUAAAUUUUGAUUAACCAUAAUUUGUCACUUUUUGUUAAAGUAGAUUGUUUUAGGCUUUGGUCUCUUUAUAUUAAUUUCACACUAAUUUUUUGUUUGGUUUCGCCUUUAUCUUCCUAGUGCAAAUUGGGUUUGCCCUUGGUAAGGGUCUUUAAUUUUCUUUUCCCUUACACACAAAAACUCAUUUUAGUUGCAUAGUAUUAUAAUCCAUCUUUAUUUUCAUUUCAAUUUAUAUUUCUAUUCUCCCGGACUAAAUACAAGUAAAAUGAUGAUUCUUUUGGAUUGAUUUUAAAUUAAUUUUAUGUUUGAUUUUUAAGAACCUUACAUCGAUUAUUUUUGUUCACGUGGUAUUAUGAUAGAUUGUUAUUUCUAUUUCGAUUUUUGUUCUAUUCUAUUCUCGCACGUUAAACACAGGCAAAAUAGUGAUGCUCCUAAAUCGAUUUCAAACUAAUUUUGUGUUUGGUUUCCAAGAAUCCUACUAAUAGAAGAUGGGGUUUGAAAGGGAUAUGUUUGGCAAAGGGCUUGGUUGGUUUUCUUUUGACUUGAAGAUAAUUAAAUGUGUAAUGUAGGGUCAUGGUUAAGGCAAAGGAGGCACAUAUAUGUUCAUGGAUUUGGGAGUUAAAAUUUGAUUUGUGAACAAAAACCGAUUUGAUUAACUCUAAUAUGUCACGUUUACAAAAGUAGGUAACCUUAAGUGAUGAAACUGGUGGGUGGGUGGGUGAAAGAAGAUUUUGUUGUGACCUUUUGCAUUGAGAGGGGAUGAGACCUGUGACUAGUGAGGGCUAUGGAUUUAGAAUGAAUUUAGAUAGUGCAAUGGGGGUCCCCCCAUUAUAAGAUGGGGAUUGAUUUGAUGUAGACUCCUUUAGAAUAUUGCUAGACAAUAGUCACAUCUAAAGUUUCUUCUCCUUUUCUCUGCCCUCUUUUCUUAAUCUCCCUAUUCUUUUAGUUACACAUAUUGCCAUUUUUUGAAACAUUUCCUUUUCACUAUUGGGGUGUGUUUGGUUCAUGUUUGUAUAAGAUACUUUUCCUUACAAAUAUCCAAAGGUUGCGAUGAGGAUAUUCCUGUGCCAAGUGAUAUGGGAUGGGAUGAGCUCUUCCACUCACCUGUCCAAGUGAUAUCUUUAUUGUAUAUUUUGGAAAGUCACAUUUUUUUUUUUCCUUUAAGCGUGGGGAAAUCAUAGCUAGGGUGUCCUUUUUAUGCUAAAUGGAUGGUUUGGUGCGGCAGACCCUUCUUCUGUAAAGAAAAAGUAUUCUUUUUGAGGUGGGAUGAUAUUCAUUUAGGUCAUCUUCUCGUAUAGUGGCAAAGAUAUUAUACCUUUACUAUGCUUCAAAACUAAUUUUAACUUUUAGAAUUUAAUCAUGGAGAUUAAUUUUUAAAUUAGUCCAUUAAAACUACAAAAUAUGAUGUUUUUGGAGUGUAAUCAUAGAUUAUAAAGAACAAUGAUAUACAUCAAACUAAUUAUUCUUUACGUACGACGUUUCUUUUAGUACUCAGAUCCCAAAAGUGAAAAGGAAAUAUUUAGACUUCAGAGUAUCAAAAAUUUUUAUUUCUUUAUUAAAAUUGGAUAAAUUAGUUGUAAAAUUAAGCUUGUAAAGUAGGAAUUUUUUAUUUGAUGGAAAAAAAUAACCCCCACUUUCAAAAAAACUAUAAAUUAUGACUUUUUUGUGGAGAUAAGGAGCAUUAAUUAUGUUGAAUUGAAACCAAAUAUUUACAAUUUUAACAAGUCAAUGCUGGGAUUAUUUUGUCUUUUUAAUUAAAAUAUUAAGUGAUAAUUUGAAAUUACCAAUAUAUUUGAAUAAAAAAAUCAUGUGAUGUAAAAAUUUAAAAUGUCACUAUCAACUUGAUUCAUGAAAGAUCUCAUAGGAGCACGAUGGACAGCCAUUGAGGCUGAAAAUUGUUAGCUGGCAGAUGGAAUUAAUCCGAAUGUAUUCAUGAGUUGAGACAAAAGCAUGCAUUAUGAGCAGUAUAUACGAGGGACAAAGCAGCAUGGGCUAAAGGCAUGGUGACCAUCCCUACCCAAUGUCCUGCUCCUAGCCUUAGCCUAAAUGAUCAAAACCAAAAUUUUAUGUACUUUUUGAUUGAAUUUCCUACUAACUUCCCCACUUGCAGAAGAAUCUAUUUUGGUGAAAUUUGACUAGAAGCAAUAAGUGCCCUCAAAAAUGGCUGAAAGGCAUGCAAUCGGGGCCAGAAGGAGUUGGGUUUGGGCAUGAUUCAGGCCAAGGCACAUGGUUGAAUGUAAUAGCCCAUUAAGUUGUUUGCUGGUGCUGCAUGCUCUGCAGGUAAUGGUAAUGGUAAUGGAAGCUUCAUGGGAUUUUGAUGACUUGGCUACCAAUAGUUUUGGGGGUUUGGCCUACCAAGUGUGGCAUCUUGAAAACAUGUCACCAUACAUUAUGCAUUUUGUCAGUGAAUAAUUGUGCCCAUUGCCUCACAUACUUGCCUACAUCUGUGGCCUCCACGACCAACUACCUUAGUCAAGACCCCUCUUCAUUGCUCAAGUGGAAACAUGAAAUUUUCUUUUUCUUUUUCAACUCUUUUUUUUUUUCUCUCGGUUUAUUCUCUCUUCUCUUCUCUGUUUAAAAGCAUGAUGCGCCUUAUGAACUCAUACCUUAUAAGUUUAAACUUUUUCAUAAUUUUUUUUGUCAUCUAGUGAUAAAUAUAUUUUACUAUAAAAAUCUUAUUUUUUUGUUAUGAAAACUUUUAUGACGAACUAUCAUUUUUGUUAUAACGUUGAUAUUAGAACUUUGUUUAGUGGAAAAUCUUAUCUUCGAACCUCACAAUCGCUAGUGGUAGAGUCAAAAAAAUAGGUUAAGAGACAAAAUAAUAUAUAAGACUUAUUAUAGGGGGGCAAAACAACAUUAAAUUACUUUGCGUAUUGUAGUGGUAGACAAUUAGUUUUCGUAGAAUUUUUUAUCCAGGUAUCAAAUCCUAUGACUACUUGCCCCUCUUGGAUACUACUUCAUCUAGGUAUCAAAUUCUAUGACUACUUGCCUCUCUUGGAUACUACUUCGUUCCACACCCUUGACCGUUGUAUUAAUUUUCAAUGUCGUUGUCUUUUUUAUUUUCUUGUUGAAGCAAGCUCCAAAAUUUGGUAGACUUUCAUUUUCGUUCCUUUGUAGUUUUAUUCAACUAUACGUUCACCCGUGCUUUCUCCACAAAAAUCAUUUUCCAAAUAAUAAUUGGAUUAUUGUAUGAAUUAAAUGACCCAAUUAUGUGAAUUGGAAUUUGCCUUCACCAAAUCCCACCUUGCUUGAUUUGAGGUCCCUACUAAAUAUUUGGGUUCACUAGAUUUGAUGCCAUAAAUUUUGGUUACAUAAUUUGCAACCUUUAAUUAGUUUUUAUGUAAACACCCUCUAAAUACUCAUACUAUUAAAGUUCAUUUUAGUUAUUCAUUAAUUUAUUUCAUUUUCUUUCACAUUUUGCUAUCUACUUUUUAUCAUUUUCUUUCGUCAGGUAAUGAGUUGUGUCCUUGCCAUUGAAAUUCAACUCUUCUACCUCACGGAUGAGUGCUAUCCUAGUCAUUGGAAUUGAACUUCUCAUUGAAAAUAGUUUGGUUUUUAUUUUAUUUUAUUUCUCAAGACCACCUUAACCAAUCCAUUGUGCAAGAUUACUACAAUGUAUUUGUAACACAUUUUUAGUGACUUCUUUGAAUUAAAAAUGCUCUCCCUAAAAUUUAAAAAUAAAAAACACUUUGACUGUAAUUACUUUAAGAUAACACAUUAACGUUAUAAUAUUUAGAGUACAUUUUAUAGUGAUUUUAAAAAAUGUUUAUAAUUUUUUAAAUAUUUAAAUAAUAAAAAUUUUCAAGUAUUAAAAAUGUUAAAAAUAUUUCUUAAAAUCACUGUUAAACUGAUUCAUGUAUUUACGAGUAUUUAUACUUAAAGUAUUUUUUUUGUAAAGUGUUUCUUAAAUUUUAUCAAAUACUUCACAUUUUUCAUAAACAAGUUUUAAACUGUCAGUAUUUCCUAGAAUCACUGUCUAAGUGAUUUUAGGAAACACUUUCAAUAUUUUUAACAUUUCAAAAAUUUUAUUAUUCAAAUAUUAAAAAUAUUUUCUAAAAUUAGUGUCAAAUGUAAGUUAUCAAUUAAUAACUAUUUAAUAUUUUUUUAAUUAUAUGUUAUGAAAGUUCAAUUUUAAAAUUUUAUAUUUAUUGUAAAUUUUUAUUAUUAUUAUUAUAAUGAAUAGGUAAAAAGACAUGUGAAAUUAAUUUUCACUUUUUUUUUUUUUUUUUUGCCUCUCCCACAGUCCCACUUGGUCUUCUCAUUUUGUCUUGUUCCUUGCCCCAUAAAUAUUUCAAACCAUCAUUCACUUUUAUCGAGCCGCCCAGAUGAAAGGAUGUCACCUCUUCUUUUCUUCUUUUUCCGACAUAUUAUUGCAAAUGAUUCAACUCUGGUAUUAUGAACUUGUGAGCAGCCUACGAAAUUUACAAUACAAUUGUGUAGUGUUAAAGUCAAAAGAAGGGGGCUCAUCAAAGCAUACUAGACGAUAAACCAACCAACGAAGUAUAAAUGUGAGUUAGCACACGCAACAUUGUCUUGUCCCUUGUCAUCAACUACCGAGCCACCGCUCUUUCAAUUCUUCUUGGAUCAUGUUUGGUAGUUGGGAGCCGCACCUAGGAUUACCAUCUCUUUCUGAUUCCUCAUUUGAACUAACCAUUAUGAAUUCAGAGACUCAUUGGAGACUAUAACCUCUUUUUCAAAUAUCCCAUUACUCAAAUAAUCUUUCUUUUUUCUUUUUGUUUUUUUUAAUUAUAAAUAUUUUUAGAAAAAGAAAUUAAAAAUUAAUGAAAACACUAUAAUGGCCCUAUACUAGGCUACUAACUACCCUCUUAGCCUUUUUUAUUUUACAUGUUAUAUGCUAAUGAUGAGAAGAAUGGUGUAUGAUGAUGUUGGAUAAAAAUGUUUAUUAUAUUAAGUUAAUUUUAAAUUAAAUUAUUUAUAAGUUAUUAACUUUAAAACUUAGUAUUUAAUUUUUUUAUGUGAAAUAUUAAGAUUGAUUAAAAAACUUAACUUAAUUGUUAAAUAUUUAUAUUCAAAGCGUUAUAAAUAUAUAAGUUAACAAUAAAAUAAUAACUACGAAAAAUGUCUGAUAGUAAAAACUAGUUAACUAUUUUGACUUAAUACUUAAAAGUUAUUUUUAAUUUUAAAUUAUAAUAUUAAAUUAUUUUAUCAAUGUUUAAUCUAUUUAAUGAUUAAAAUUAAGUUAUUAAAUGCUUAAGUUGAUUUAUCAAAUACUCUUUUAAUAUUCAAUGUUAUUGACAAUCCUGUCUAAGUAAAGAUUUCAAAUAUAUCAUAUUCCAUUUUGGGAUUUACUUGAAUUGCGGAAUGAAGUUUCACAUUCAAACAAGUUCAUGUUUGCUAUUAUUGCUAUUAAUAUUUGAUUUUGUAUGAAAGGGAAGCUUUUUAAAUCAAAUCAUGGGAAAAUGAAGAAGAAAAUCGCAUGCAAAAACCUUUCUAGACGACACAUCUUGAAGUCUGUCUCAUGGUUCAAUUCUUGUAAAAUUUAGUUACUAGAAUUUCAUUUGAUUAGGGCACGUCAAAUGACAAGAAAGAUUCACGAACCUCAUAGAAUACAGUGUAUGUAUAAAGGAAAUGAUUAAUUUUAAUGUCUCAACUACAUACGUCACUCUAAUGAAUGCUUUGUAAUCUAAUAAUUAUCGUUAAUUUUCAAUCCACAAAAUAAUUCAAUUUAUGAUCAUGUUGUGAUAAAAGUCUUAAUAUCAAAGGAAUAUUUCUUCAUCAUAAUUAUUUAUACAUACAUGUAUAUUCAUCUGGCACACAAACGCUUAAGAAAGAGGGCACUGGCCAUUCAUUCAUCAUCAUUUCUGCACUGAAUAUUCAACAAGGAAUAUUACACACUUAAAUUCCCAAAUUGGAGAUUCUCUUCUUGGACUAGCGAACACAGGGGGAGGCUCCUGAUGGUGGCACUUCAGCAACGUAAACAACCUUGAAUUUUUUUAAUACAAGUAUGAAAAAUAGAAAAUAGAUAUUAAAAUAAUGAAAAAGGUCAUAAAACAUAAAGAUAGUUUUAUAGUUUUUUUUAACACAUUUUUCUUUAAAUUUACUUUUUUCGGGAAAGAUAAAAAGGAAUUUAAAAUUAAUAAUUUUUUUUCUCAUUUUUCUUUAAAAUUAUUUUUCUUCCUUUUUAAUUAAAAAAUUAACAUCUUAAAAUUAUAAAUUAUUAAAUAAUUUCAUAUUUGAUCUUUUUUUUUUUUUUUUCAUAUUUUAAAUCCUUUCUUAUUAAAGAUGACAAUAGAUCAAUUUUUUUUUUAGGUAUUUACCCUUAAUAAGGCAAAUUUAUGUUAGUGUAAAAUUAGAUUUACUUAUAAAAUAAAGAAAGUUAUUAAGAAUAUUUACAUAAAUAUUUUAGGUAAUGAGGGCAAAAAGUUAUGAAAUAGAGAUGAGUUUGUAGAGAUUAUAUGAAAUAGAUAAAAAUACGAGGAAGAAUGAGAGACACCCAUGAAAUGAGGGAGCUAAUGAUUCAAGGGAUGGAUACAAAGAGUAGGGAAUGUGGAAAUGUUUCAAGAACUCAAUAAUUGUAUCUGGUUUUUUUUUUUUAUGUAAUAUUUUUUUUACAGUAUAAUAAAAAAAUUCUCUCUCAUUCGUAAAUGUAAACAUGGUUAGUCGAACUACGCUAAAAUAUCGUGUCAAGACAAGUCAUCCUUCUAAUUAGGAGGUGGUGCACUACAGUCUCUACUGAAUUGCCUAAAUCCAUGAACCAAUUGUAGAAAACUUAUCUACUUACAAGAAACUCGUGACUUGUACAUUCCAUGCAACUCCUAAUGCACCCAAGUCAUGUAAAAUAUUAGAGACAUGGGUUGAAUGCUCAAAUCAAUGUCAAUACAUCAAAGGGAUAACAAGGGGAUAGUGAAGUAUCGUGCAUAUGAUAAUUUUAUCUUUAUGUUCUUGAAUUAACCUUAUUUAUAUUAAAACUUUGGUUCGCACAACAAAUCCCAUUAAAAUUGAUCAAUGAAUGAGAACAUAUGAGAUUAGAGAAAUGUAAUAAGGUAUAAACACAUGAUCAUACGAAGGUUUAAAUAAUUAAUUUCUUUUAGAAAUCUUGCAUUCAUUUUAAUUCCAAUUUAAUUAUUUUUGUCGUGUGAUCUAAAGCACUGCAAGUCAAGAAAGAGAGGCAUGCGGUGGAAUAAUCUCUCCAUUAAUAAAUGAAUUUAGUAUGGGUAUUGAAGAUAAAAGUUGUCCUUGCAUUCAAUUUUGGAAGACGAGCAGCGGCUCUUUGGCCAUUACUAUUCGCCAGUGGGUCGUGUUAUUUCUGAGUACAAUUUUUAUUUCUUAUUUUAAGAUUUCUUUUUUAAAAAAUAUGUUUAAUUAGAAGACAUAAAAAGAAAAUAUUUCUAAGGAAUUAAAUUAUAAUUGAUGUUGACUUGGCGGCUUUUACUUGUUAAAUGAUAUAAUAAAAUGUUUAAUCUAUUUAUAAUAAAUGUAUAAUUUGGCUACAUAAGUCGCCUUUUACUUAUGCAUUUGGUAGUACAUCGAAUAUAAAUUCAACUUGGAGAAGUGUCUUGUCUUGCUUGUUAUGAGAGAGGAAACUCUUGGACCACUUUUUUCGCUAAUUGUAGAUGGAUAGGAAUAAGUAUCUAUCCUUUUGAUGAGAAUCGAACUCGUCUCAUCAACAUAAAAAUUCAAUGUCUUGAACACCAAAUGAAAGGGACCUAAAAGCCUAAUCUUCAACUACCCUAAGCUCUACAAAUAGAAGUGGUUUGUUUUAUUUCUCCGUUUGAUUGUGUUUUACAUAAUUACCUAGUUAUGAUUUUAAUGUUAUUAUCAAUUCAGUUAUAAACAAUAUCCUUAGACUAUUUAUCCUCCAAACUAAAAAAUAAAUUAACUAAAAAAAAGAGCAACUUAUUGUACAAGGGUAUGAUCAUCUCCUCAAGGAUUGCAAUAAGCUUUCAAUAAAGAAAAAAAUUGAUAUUCAAAUAAAAAUUAUUAUUAUUUAUGUCCUAAAUCUAAAUGAUAAAAUGAAUCCUCUUUUGUUAUGAUUUUGAAAUAACAUUACAAUGUAAAUGGAACAAAGUUCUUAAGGAAAACAUAGUAGUGUGAAAUGAGCAAUAAGAUUGAGAAACCAUCAAGAUGAAGUUAUAUAUUUAAGAUCAAAUUUUAAUUAAGAAUAUGAUCUUAUCAUUUCUUAAAAUGAAUUUACUCUUUCGAAUUCAAAUCUCUACAACUUUUAAGCUUUAACUGAUUUCAAGAUAUGACUUAAGAUUUUGAUAUCAUUGAUCAAACUUUGUUAUUAAUGAAUCAAAUCACAAAAAUAAUUUUUUACUAACACUAUGUAAGCAUUUGGGAUACAUAUUCUUGAUGAACUUGCAAAGAAUUUUGUCGUAUUGAUAGCUAAGAUUUACAAAUUUAGAAAAUAGAGAGAAUUUUAUCACAGAAGAUGUAUUAAAAUUUUCCCUCAAAUGUACUCAUCCUUUAAAUAAAUAAAGAUUUUACCAUACAGUAUAGGGUAUUAAUAUAGUCUUCCCUAUUAAUUAAUUUAGUCUUGAUUCCCAUACUUGAUAGCUAGGAAAUGUGAGAAAAUGAAGUUGAGGGAAAACAACAUUUUGAAAAGUUCUCUACUAAAUUUGAAACAUAAAUUACAUAGAGUGUAUAUAUUCCUCUAUAUUAUUUACUAACUAAUUAGCCUAAUAAUCUAUUUUAUUUAUGAAUACUAAUGUCAUAUGGCAAUCUCCUAACAUGUCAUGUAAUCAAGUCUAGAUGGAGUACAAAAGUUCAAAAAAGAGCUAUAGCACAAAAAAAAAAACUAGAAUUUGGUAUUACAAUUAUGAGGUCAACAUAAAAUAUCAAAAAUAAAUAAGUACAAUUAGUCAUGACCAAGGAGGAAAAUGUCAGGAUAUAUCGGCGAUAUAUCGUGUAUCGGAAGAGGUCGACACAAUAUUUCGUGAAGAAAAAUCGGAGGGGAGAUAUUUCCGUAAAUAUCGCCAAAAUAUCGGCAAUAUAUCGGUUCGGGGAGAUAUAUCGGAGAUAUUUUGAAAAAAUCGCCUCUGGUGACAAAAUAUCGGUGAUAUAUCGGCGAUAUAUCAUUGAUUUUUUUGUGAUAUUUCCCCUCCUUCAUGCAACGUGAUCUGACGGCCCAAAUCACAUCCGUGUUUAUCCGACGGCCUAGAUGUGAUUCCAAUGGUAAUAUGGCAAUCCAACGGCCAGAUUACUCCCAGAUUUUGAUCCAACGGCCAAAAUUGAUUUUCAAUGGUAAAUUAAUGUUCCAACAGCUAUUUUGGCCCAAAUUUCUUCUAUAAAUAGCCCAAAUUUCAUCUAUUUCAUCCAUUUUUUCUUUCAUUCUUCAUUUGCUCUCUUAUUACUCCAAUUUUUAUUAAGGUUGCUUAAUUAUUUAAUCAUUUUAAGGUAUAUUUAAUUUAAAUUGUAAUUAAUUUUGUUUGCAAUUGUAAUUAGUUCAUGUAUUUUCAAUUAAUUAGUAUGUUUGCAAUAUGGAUGAUUUACUGCUAUUUUUACAUUCAAUUGUAAUUAAUUUUUAUAUUUUUAUUGAAUUAACUUAGGUUAAUUUGAUUAUUUAAUUAUAAAUUGAUAUAUUUAUUUUAGAUGAUUAUUUGUGAUUUAUUUUCACAUUUAGAAUUAAAUUAAACUAGUUAACUUAGCUAAAUUAUUUAAUUAAUUUAAUUAACAUCCUAAAUUAUUUAAUUAAUUUAAUUAACAUGAACUAGUAUAUUUUGAAUAUGAAAUAUGUUUAUUUAAUGAAUUUAAUGUGUACAAAUUAUUGAUAUUUAAUGAAAUAAAGUAUUUUAUGUGACUUUAUAAUGAGAACAAUUACAAAAUUAACAUUUUUUAUAGAUCGACAUGAUAUAAUUAUAUCUAAUAUCGCAAAUUAUAUCAUAUAUAUAUAUAUAUAUAUAUAUAUAUAUAUCAAAUUUUUCAAUAAAAUAACUUUAAAAUGUCCAUUAUACUUCUAAUUAUAUUAUUAUGAGGUUUUCCUUGCAUUUCUAUGAGUUUUUAAUAAUUUUAAGUCUAUCGAUAUUUUUUUCUAGAAUAUCCGCCGAUAUAUCUCCGAUAUAUCCGAUAUAUAUCCGAUAUAUCCGAUAUAUCCGUAAAAUCGAAGUACCGAUAUAUCCGUGAUUACCAAAAUUUUCAUCCUUGGUCAUAACCAAGUUUAACAUCUUAAUCGUUCUUCAUUUUGGUAAGGACGAUAAUGAACUUUAAGGACAUUCAUAACUUUAUAUUGCAAGAUGUUCAAUCAUUACUCCAACAUGAAAAACGAUUAAUAAUUCUUCGAAGACGAUUAAUUGUAAUUGUAAUGGUCAUUUGCUUCAGCCUAAUUUCUCUUAUUCUUCUCGAACACUCACAAAAGGACAAUUAGUUGUUAUUCUUGAGAUGAUUGAUUGUUUAUUAUAGAGUAACUAUGCUCUUAUCAAAGUAUAAUAGUUGUCUUUUCCAUAUAAUUGCUCUUCCUUUUUCUUCUUUUUUUUUUUUUUUUUUUGCUACACCUUCAUCCUUCCAACUUUAAAUAACCUCUCAAACUUCCAAGUACCCUUUUGCACAAUUAGUUCAUGGAUUCAUAAGCUCUCGCUCUCAUUCAUCAACUUAUAUAUAUCAUUAUUUUUAUUUCCACUCUAACUUGAGAGGAACGUUAAUGAUACAAAAUUAUGUUAGAAAAUACGCUUCCAUUGUUCAAAAUAUCAUAUAUUUUUUCAGUCAAUCAAUGGUAAAACUAAAGUAAACAAUUCUAGAUGUAUACCUUAUCUAUAUGUAUAAUGCAUAAGUAGACACUAUCCGCGCAGAAUCUCUCCAAAAUUCACAAGUUUGCAUGCAAUUAUUGUUAGUUGUAUAUAUAUAUAUAGGAGAGCUUUUCCCCAUGAAAUUUACUAUAAAAAUGAAUAAUCAAGAUUCAAAAAGAUUUUUAAUUGUGAAAAGUAAAAACCUCCCAUCCAAAGGCCUCUUUAGCUAUUGACUGAUGGGCAUGUCAAUUAUGCAUGUAUGUUCGUACUACUUUUUUUAAUUAAGGGAACUAUCUUAUAGCAAUCAGUGCUGCUCUCUGCCAAGGACCCCAUAACCCAAAAUAAAACUAGAAAAAAACGGUAGACAAAAGCUGAUAAAGAGGAGAGAAUAAAUGCAGAGAGAAGAUAUAAAGGAGCGGAUUUCCAUAAGAAAAGCUUCAGACCACCCUCAUGGACAACCACCAUUUUCUUUUGAAAAACAAAUCUUGCCUGUUUGAAUAAUUUUGACAGACUUGCAUGCCUUUCAAAUUCUCAAUCAAAUGAACAACUUUCUACUCACUCUUUUUUCUAUAUAUGCUUAAUAAGCCAUUAUUAAGUAAAAAUUUUAAAAUAUUCAAUCAUAUAUACUAAUGAUAGAGUAGGUAGUAUAAACUUUUUUAAAAGCUUCAACUGUAUGUAAAGAGAAAAAAAAUUGGUGACAAUUAUGGAUAUGAGGCCAUAAGUUAGAAAUAUAUCAACCCAAGUGGCGUUCAAUAUAUGAAUAAUUGAUGGGAGAGAUGACAACAUUAGUUCUAUGAAAACAUCAUGUACAAGACUAAUUUUUUCUUCAUUGGAAACAUCAAAUGCUAAGUUGGAUUAAUUGUUGACAUGAAAUGCUAAGUACAAAAUACUUUUUGUGCAUCACAGGAGGGACCACACAUAUUUUGGAGGUUCUCUCCUCUUGGAGGGGGGUCUGUUGUAUGAUAUAUAAAACCAUGCACGCACUUGUAUGAAACAACUAAACUAGUGAGCGAGCGAGUGAGUGAGUGAGUGAGAGUGAGUGAGUGAGUGAGUGAGUGAAAUUAACAUUUGAGUGAGUGAGUGGGGGAUGUGAAAGUGGGUACAGAAUGCCAAACAAAGCACUAAAAUUUACAAAAGAAAAGGCAGGCAACGUCAGUGUUGUCUUUAUCAGAUGGAUGCAACUCGAAAAAGAUAUCAGAGAAAGAGAGAGAGAGAGAGAGAGAGAGAGAGAGGGAGGGAGGGAGAGAGGGGGGGUCUGAGUUUUGGCUAAACGCUUUGGUGUCUCCCACUACCUCAUGUUGGGUCGGCCAUUUUGUAGACAAUCCUUUGUGGGCUUGUCCCGUCCGUAUUGAAACUCUCUUUCUCCUUCUCCCUUACCCCUUGUGCUAGGGAACUGAGAGGUGGGUGUGUGUUUGUUGCAUUCCUAGUCUUCCAUGAUUUCCAUCUUCCUCACUUCUCUAUAGUGAUCCAUUGAGAAUAUUGAGGCCUUUCCAUUAUUAAAAGUUGUUUGUACCUUUUCACUUAACUCUUCCAUCAACCUCUUGCCUGCACUCUCUCUCUCUGUAUGUAAACUAAAUGUGUCCUCUCUGCACGUGAGAGUGAUGAAUCCCAAUACUCACUGACAUGUUGUGUGUGUAUAUUUUAAUGUUGUCUUGGACCUUAGUUUUAAUUAAUGGGAAUGGGUGUGGGGUGGUCACAUUGUACCCAACUCCAUUAACUCACCACCUAAAGUAUAAAAAUAAAGGACUUAAAAAGUGGUGGUGAUCAGCUAACUAGAUAGCAUAUGGGCCCUCCUCCACCAUACCUUUGAUGCCCACCACCCAUGACUCUGCUUCUACCCUAAACAAUCGAGCCUUUAUUUGUGAUUAUGUACAAGGCGUGCUUUCAAGUGGCAGUUUUCAUUAAACCGCCCAACAUCUUCCCAAGCUUUCUCUCAUCACAAUACUUUAUUUUCUGCACAAUAUUCCCUUUUGUUUUUCAAACUUUUUAAUCCAAUUUGUUCCUUUCCAAACGAACCCUUAUUCUCUCGCACACAUAUGUUUACCAAAUGAAUGGUCACAACACUGUUAUUGAAGGAGCCAUAUAAACGGGCCGACAGCCGUGGAGGGCAUAUGUGUUUAGUGGAGACAUAUUCAUGGAGAAAUGGAAGACUAAAACAGCUCUUUCAACAUGCAAAUAUCUUACCUAAGAACAUCUUUUUAUGAAAAAAGUUGAUACACUAAAAUUUACAAUCAUGUUGAAAGAUCUACUUAGAUUAUCACAUUGUGAGCCCUGUAUAUACAUUUAUAUCACUUUCUCGGAACAUUACCUAGCCCUGAUGAGGCCAUAAAGACUAAUCCAUAGUGUAUGUACUGUCCUAGGCUUUUAUCAAAUACUCUAAUCCAGCCCAUUAAAUGGGUUAUAAAUAAUAUGAGGCAAAAAUUCAGCACCACGUAUUUUCAUGUCCUAAAACUUUGCUAAUAAUGAAUGAAGAAGAUAUAUACUAAAAAAAAUGGCAACGACUAUUUGUGAGAUCUCUAAUCAUUACCUUAACAGUUGCAAAGAAAAUGUGUGGGAGAAAUAUAAUGGGAAGAUGCAGGCACGCAUGGGGAGCAUGUGAUGAAAUGGAAGGGGAUAAAAUGCACCCAACAAAGCAUCGAAUCAAGAAGAAAAGACCCAUCCAUUAUUACCAAGCGUGUAGGGAAGUAAUUAGUGAGAGACAAACAAGGAGUCCAAAUGAAAUCAGCUCAAUCAUUUGACCCUAUUCCCAGCCACAUGCAUGCAUGUAUAUGCGACUCCUUGCCCCACCCCUGAUCUAAUCUUUCCACUCCUUCCCACGUUAAUGCUUGUUUUUUUGCAUGGCUUCCUGAUUAGGGUUCUCAUCUCUCUCAAUUUCUACAUAUCAAAUCUGUCAUUUAAUUGAAAGGAUGUUGCUUUGUUUUAAGGGUUUUGGUUGAACCUGCAGGUGGUUGAAUCCAGUUGAUAAAGAUAAGUUUUUUAAUUUCAGUUUGGAUGGUUUCAUAUGUAAGUGUUUCGUUAGAUUUUAGUAAGCAGUCCAACUUGGAGGGACGACAAGAAAGAUUUUAGAGUUGAGAAAAGUGUAGUAGCCUUCUAGGGAGAUCUUUCAAAAUAAAUCAAGUAGCCUUCUACCAUGAGGAUUAAAGUAGAUGCCUACCUUGAAAAUAUUUCAAUUUUGGCUAUGACCACAUGGAGCCCACUCAUAGUGUUUUGCCUAGAUGAGAGCCAAUUCCAUUGAAAACCCAUUUGUCAAUAAAUUGAACCAGUUAAGUAAUUUGAUAACUUGGCAUGCCCACAAAUGAUACCGAUGCUUUUGAUCUUCUCAACUCCAUUGAAGUCUAUCAAGACUCUUGAACCAUCUCAUGUACUUGAGAGUGACAUAGGCCGGCGCCGAGUCCAUCAUUAAAGUACCUAAUGUGCUUGGACUUCUUGAUCAUAAUCCUAACUCAAGAACACAAACACUCGAGCAUUGAUUAGUAGUUAUAGUCUUAAUGCAAUGGAAGCUCUUGUCUCUUAAAGAGGUGAAGAGAUAAUUGUUAAGAGAUAUCUUAAUAACAUGAAAAGCUUCUAAGCAAAGUCCACUAAUGGAAAUAGAAAAACAAGUAUCAUCAUUUGACAUGUUAAUUUCUUUUAUCAAUGGAUGGUGAGCACUUUUCUUUGUAUGCAUCUCCUAUGAAUGGACACUUAGUAUAUCAUUUAUGUCAUGGACCCGAAUCUUCCCUAAAAAUCCAAACGGGACAUAGUGGGCAUAUUUGUAUCCCAUAGACACGUUGCAAAAAAAAUAAAUUAAAAUUUUGCAUAAGUUAUUUUCAUAUAAAUUCGUCAAUGAGGCUCUCCAAUAAGAUAUAAUGUCGAAAAAUAUUUUGUUGCAAAAGAUUACAUGUCAUACUAGUGGAUUGGAUGGAGAAGACCAUUUUUUUUUCUGAGGUCUAAUAUCAACUCAGUUUAGAAUCUUGUUAUUGAACUACCAAUUUUUCUAAAAGCUUAAACUUAUAAGAUUUGAAUUCAUUAUGCAUAUUAUGCUCGUUAAUAUACACUACCUCAUGAAUAAUUCGUUAAAAUUUUAGAAUAAAAACAAACUAUAUUUACACAUUUUAAAAUUAAAUUAAUUAGUAUUUUUCUAUUUUAGCAUGUAGGUAAAGAUUCCUCAUGCCAAAAUAUCUUCAUUUGUUGGAGAGAUUAGUUGUUGACUUGAAAAUUUUUCGUUUAACUCUUACUUUUCCUUUAAAAGCAUUAAGAUGGUUUGAUAGAAUUAACUUAAUUUUAUUUUUAUUUUUGUAAAAUUAUUAAAUUAGCAUAUUUACCUUUAUUAAUAUUUAUUCAUAAAUAUAUAUGUACAUAUAAAAUAUUGAUCAUUGGGGAAGAAGAUAUUUGGUUUGUAGAAAAAUUAUUUUAUUUUAAUUUAUUAUUAAUUUUUAUUAUUUUUAACUUUAAAACAUUUAAUUGUACUUGUAUAUAUAUUUUAGUUUAUAUUAUUGAUUUAAUUGCUAAAAAGUGGCAAUUGGUGUGCCCCUAAUUUUAACUUUCUGUUGGUCUACAGGCUCAUUAGGUCCAUCAGGGACAGGGCUUCAUAGUUUCAACUUUCAACUAUUUUAGGCCAGGGAACGCUUCUGUUUUCUGUUGGCCCAACUCACAGCCCAUCAAUAUGCUCAUUUUUUUCUAGGCCUCGUAGCUUCAACCCUUUGGGCCAGAGAAUACUUCUGUUUUCUGUUGGCCCAACACAUAGCCCAUCAAUCAAAUAGUACGCUGAUUUUUAUUUUUAUUUUUUUCAAAAUGUCACAUUUUUGGGAGAUUCAAAAUUAAUUACAGGAAAAGAUUUAUGUGAUAACUAAGAAAAUUCAUGGGAUUUUCUUGAAUAAUAAGCACGGGAGAAGCCACUGAGAUAAUAAGAAAACAAAGGGACGUAAAUUUCGUCUGUUGGCCCAAGGCUCAGCCCAACCCAGCCAAUACUUUCAAGACCAAAGCCAGUCCGGCUCACAACCAAGCACAGUCUAAGCAUGGCCCAAUUCCAACUGAUUAAUCUUGGGCUGACUUUUUAAGCUUGAGCCCACGCCCUUGGGCUGGCCCAAGCUAGCCCGGGCAUCAAAACAAAGUUGUAAAUCUAUAAAUAUUAUAAAUUAUAUAAGAUUUAAAUCAUUGUAAAAGGUAGCAAUUCUGAAUAUUUAAAUCCAGUUAAUUUUUUUUUUUUUUUUAUAAAUGUAAUUAUAUACAUCAAAGAGUUAGGCUUAUGAUCGAGCUUAGGCUAGAGUUAAAUUUCUGGACCGGCCCGAACACCAAGAGGGCCCGAGUCAGGCCGGUUUGCAUAGGGAUUCGUCAGGAAAAAUUGUGUGAACUCUGUAUUUUUCAGGGAGAAAGAAACUUGAACUCAUCAAAGUUAACAUUCUUUCCAAUAUAAAGAAGACCAAUGAAUGAAGACGCUUAUACCCUUUGUGACAAGAACCAUAUCCUACAAAAGACACCAUUGGUAUGUAUGAAAAUUAAACUCAUGUUUGUUGUAGGGUUGAAGGAAAAGAUACUAAGCACAAUCAACAGACUUUAGGUUAUGUUUGGUUUUCGAAAAAUUUGAAAGAAAAUAAGGAAAAUAAAAUAUAAAAGAAUAGUAAAAUAAAAGAAAAACUAAUGAUAAAUAAAAAAAAUAGAUUUAAGUUAAUAAAUUAUUUUUAUAAGUUAUUUCAAAUUCAUUUCAUUUAUUUUAACUAUCUAAUAUAAAGAUUAAAUGAUUUGAAAAUGUACAAGUGUCUGACUAAUUUUAAUUAUUUUUUAUUUUUUAUAUUAUAUUCUAUCUUAUAACUAAAUAUGAGAAAAUCAUUUUCUUCAACAUUUUUUUCUUUCUUUAAUAUUUUCCAAGAACCGAAGGUAAGUUUAGGAAAUGAAAUGUUAAUUUUAUUUUUGGUUAAAGAAGGCAUCAAAAUGUUAAAGGUGAUUGAGAGCCGAAUUUAUAAAAAAAAAUAGCAGUUGAAAAUGAUUCCUACCCAUAUUGAUGAAGCAUAUGAGCUUGAGUUAAAAGGGUUACGCUUACUUCAACAAGGUGUCUAUGUUAUAAAAAAUUUUCUUACCUAUAAUAAAAAAAGCUGAAAACUAAUUUCUCAAUGAACGUGAUGUUUGCAAAAAUUCUAUUUUUUAUAAUUAAAAUAUUUUCUCUAUAAAAAAAAAUAUCAAAGGUGUUGUCGCCUCGCGUAUCCGGUGGUCCACGUUGCUGCUAGAUGGAGGGACACGCGAUUCUCAACACACAAAGGGUUCUUGAUUCAGCGAUCAUACCUGCAAGAAGGCAUCCGGACAGGGUGUCCGGACGCACCCUCCGAUGGUUUUGUUAGUCAUGGUGAGGGAGAGGAAUAUAAAUCAGUUGACCUUUUACUAGGUAUUAAAGAGUUACCAGGAGGAUCGCUUUCUUCUUCGUGCGAAGGCAUAUAUAUACAGCUUCAGGGGUACUGUUCCUCUCAUUAAUGGUGAGGAGAUAUUUUAUGUUGUGAUGAUGACAAUAGGUGUCAGUAGGAGCAUUAUCACCCUACGAACGACUGUCAGAAACCAUGGUAGGUGAUGCGGUUGUCAGAGAUCGUGGGAAGGUGAUCAUGUAGAAUGAUCGUGGGAAGUGACUUGCUAUCACUUCAUCUUGUCUUCUCACUCUGCAGGUGACAAGAUGUGGGCCAUGGCUGCUUGUUGUGAUUGCGUGUAAGACUUGCUUUACUUUAAUUGACCAUCCAGACGAUUUAUAUCCGGAUGGCUCAUGCCGAUUAUCCGGAUGUGUUGUGGAGACUAUCCGGAUGUCUACGCUCUGCCAGCGUCGUUUGCUCUUCCUUGGAUAGGAGAAGCUGAAACGUCGUUUGCCUUUCCUUGAGGUGGUCCGGAUAGGAUGACUGCACCAUGCAUAUCCUUAGGGGAAUCCGGAUGGUGAUGGUCCGGCUGAUAACACGUGCCACGCGUCACCAUGAGCUGCGUGCCACGUGUUUCCUAAGGGGAGGGGUCCCUAAAUUGCCCCCCUUUUUAACUUGCCUAUUUUGCCCAAAAAAAUGGGCGGGUUAAAAAUAACUGGCUUUUGAAUAUUGAAGAAGUCCCUUCGUCUGAUUGGGCCACGUGGCGAGUGGGGGUGCGGAAGCCAAAAAGGCAUUUAUGAAGAGUCGCCGACCCUGUGUAUCCCCAGGCAAUAUGUCGUUUCAAUGAUAACACGACUGUCCUGCUAUAAAUAGGGCACUGUACCUCUUUGUGCAUUUUUUCCUACUGCGUUUUCUUGAGAGCCUUUCUUCUUGUUGCUUUUUCCUGCGCCCUUUGCUUUUCUGAGAAAAACUUCGAACGACUUCGUUUGUCUACUGCUGGUGAUUUUGUACCGAGACAGUAACCGUUCUUCUUCUUCAGAGCUUUAUUUGGUACGUACCUCUUUGCUACUGUCAUUCCUUUGGUUGCGUUUGCUGGUUCUUUAAACUUGGUUUCUGGCUUGCUUGGGCAUUGUUUUGGACAGGUCGCUUGCAAUUGUUGUUGGAUGUUGGUAUUUUGUUGGUGUUCGGGGGGGUUUUUGAGAGGUUUUUCUGACUGCUUUAGGUUAGGGUUUGUGUAUUUUCUGACUGCUUGGUUUGAACCGUUGCAUUGCUUUUGUAUGUAGAUUUUGGUUUGGCUUUGUGGUAAGAAAUGGCUUCAAAAAAGACUGUUUCAUCUGCCCGGGUUAGCGAAGCUGGCGAAAAGGCGAUAGACAAAUUAGAUGUGAAGGAAUUCCGGGAGCGGUUCUGCAUCCCAAAUGACGUAUCUAUAGACUUGGUGAACGAGGAGGCGGGUAUGCCUACUGAGAAAGGUGAAGAAAACGUUAUCCUCUUCACAAAGGAACAAUUCAACGCGGGGCUCCGGUUCCCUCUGCCGGCGUUGUUCAAGGAAUUCCUCCACUUCUCUCAGGUUCCACCCAUCUUCAUUCAUCCCAACCUUGUCCGGGUGCUGAUGGGAUGCAGCAUCAUCAACAUGCUGUACAGCCUUGACCUUACGCUACUGGAAGUGUUCUUUGUCUAUUCCCUGAAGAAAGCAAAAAAUGAUAUCUUCAGUGUGUCCGCGCACCUGCCCUCCCUUCAAGUGGUGACAGAGCUGCCAGAUUUAACAAAGGGAGGGGCGAAGGGGUUGGUGGCGGUCCGGGGUGGAUGGGCGGGGCUACCGGAGCGUCCGUUGAGGCCCUUUUCUCCAAAUUAUACCUUAAAAAUUCCGGGUAUUCUUGUUUUGCGAUUCUUUGUCCGGAUUUUACUUUGCUGAUUUUUUUUUUUUUUUUUUGCUGAUUUUCCCGGACGGAAUUCUCACCUUUUGUUGCUGUUAAUGCAGGUCUGGAAUUGAGGGGCCACCUUGUGGAUUGGGUGGAAAAGGCGUCCUUCGCCUGUGUCUGCAAAUUAUUCGAGAUAGAUCCCAAGGAGAGGGCCUACAAGACAUUGCUUUCCGCGCGGAAUUUGAUAGCGGUCGUCCGGGAGUCCCAGGAAUACGUUAUCAAUAUUCUCCCCAGGAAACUGGCAAAGGAAGAGAUAGUGCCUGGGGAGCAUUAUACUGUGAAGGAGCUUCCCCUCUAUCAGGAAGCUAAAGAGGCUGAUGCUGAGAGACGGCGAAAGCUCCUGGAGGAUCGAGAUCAGAGGAAAAAUGAAGGCACUAUCCGGAAGGCUCCCGGACAGAAGCGGGGUCCGGAUUCUCCUCCAAAGAAAGCUCCAGCAAAAAGGAGGAAGCUGGUGAAGAAGAAUGAGAAGGAUGUGAAGGAACCCACUCCUCCCAAGGAGUUUCCUCCUCCGCAAAUUACCUAUGAGGGGGAGGUAAUGAUAGAGGAGCCAGUAAACGCUGCUCCGCACUCUAUCUCAAGCGGCCCCGGACGCAUGUCGGGGUUGAACCAUUCGGGCACUUCCUUGGCCGCGGUUGCGCGUCUGGCUAACGUGGCUGAGGAAGCUACAUCUAUCAAUCGUCCGGGCAACCUUAAUCCGAAUGCUGAUGCAGCUGAAACGACCCCGUUGGAGGAAGCGGGGGCAGAAAGCCAAAGUCAGCCUUCCGACGACCCAGAUCGCUUGGCCAUAGUCCCGGUGAAAGGGCCUCCUUCAAAGAAGCCGCGUUCGACGCGCGAUCUACUGUCCGGACUCCCUGGGCGGCUUCAAGAGCGGCAGCAAGAGAUUGAAGUUAGCUGCGCUUCUACCCAUGACGCUCAUCCAGAUGGAGGCGAGGUGGAGGUAGCAACUGAGACUUCAGCCGCCCCGGCAAUAAUUCCGGCUGAAGGUGCAUCCGGACAUCUUCGUCCGGACGAAGAUGUGGGGGUCCCGAAUCCGGGACAAGAGUCACCUUCUGUUUCCUCAUCUGAGGAGGAACCUGCUGACGACGCAGCUCCUGCUAGCCCUUUCAGCUACGCGGAGUUGGAGGCUAAGCUUAAAACAGAUUACACCCGACUGGAAAGUCGUCAAGCCUUCUGCUAAGAUGUUUGAUAUGAUAGAAACGGUAUACCGUUGUCUUGUGCUUUUGCUUUUUGAUUCUUUGUUGCGCUGAUGUGCUUGUUGUAGUAUGAUUUAUGUCUUUGCUUUUCUUAUUUGUGUGUCAGCUGGUGAGGGGCCUCCGCGGCAUGGCUCAACAACACGAUCUUUUUACUCAGCUGCUGCAGACUGCAGACUAUAUGAGGACCUUCUCCUCUCAGCGCCAAGAGAUUGAAAAUCAGCUGCGUCUGAGAAUGGAGGAGGCUGAGGCCAAUCUAUCCACCAUGCGACAGGAAAAUGAAGCCCUCCGAGUGGAGUUGGCUGAGGCGAAGAGUCGAGAAGAAUCAACUGCGGGCCGCCUAUAUGAGGCGGAAGGUGAGGCAGCCCGGCUAAGGGAUGAAGUGAGUCAACUCCGGACAGAAGUUUGGAAUGAAAAGAAACAGAAGGAAGACUUGCAGCUGCGCCUGGAUGUGCAAAAAGAAGAACUUGAACGGGAUUUUGCUGUGGAAAGGGAGGAACUUGCAGCGGAUUACCAGCAACAAGUGGAUGAUACGUUUAUCUUUGGGUAUCGCUGCUGCAUGAAGAAGAACGGCAUCAAGCGAGAUACCCCUUCAAUUCCUCCGGGUGAAGAAAAGAAACUCCAUGAGAAGCCCGCUCCCUGAUAGUUUAUUUCUUUUUGCAAUUUUUCUGCUGUAAUUUUUCCUUCUGUAUUUUUGUGGUCCGGAGAUCUUUUUGUAAUUACACUUAUUCAUAUCAAUAAAAACAUAUUUCUUUCUCAUUUGGACUUGUGUAUACUUUUUAUUGAUAGUACUGCUUUAAGUUGGACACAUUCCAUGGUCUGAGUAACGGAGUGCCAUCUAGCUUUUGUAAAUGAUAGGCUCCAUUUUCGUUUGCUUUAGACACUAUGUAGGGUCCUUCCCAAUUGGCUUGGAACUUUCCUGCGCCUACUUCAGCAGUAUUUUCAAAAACUUUUCUAAGUACUAGCGUACCAUUUUUGAAGUUUCUGGGCCUGACUUUUCGAUUGUAAUGCGCUGAUGCCCUUUGUUGAUAAUCUGCCAUCCGGAUGGCCGCGCUUUCUCUGACUUCGUCUGCCUAGUCCAAAUUUCUUCCUAGUUCCGUGUUGGCAUCUUCUUGUUUUGCUGCAUCGGUCCGGAUAGUAGGAAAACCUAUUUAAGUGGGAAUGACUGCAUCCAUUCCAUAUGUGAGGGCGAAAGGAGUGUUUCCUGUUGGUCGUCCGGGUGUGGUUCGAUAGGCCCACAGGACGCCGGGUAGCUCCUCCACCCACUUCCCUUUGGCUUGCUCAAGCCUUUUUUUUAAGGCAUUGAUUAGAGUUUUGUUUGUGGCUUCCGCCUGCCCAUUGCUUUAAGGAUAAUGCGGCGUGGAGUAUGAAUUCCGGAUGUUCAGUUCCGAACAGAAAUUCCUGAAUGCAAUGCUGUCAAAUUGUGGACCAUUGUCAGCUAUGAUGAUUUGGGGAAUUCCAAAGCGGCAAACAAUGUUCUUCCACACGAAUUUGAUGACAUCUUUAUCUUUGAUGCUUGCAUAUGCUUCGGCUUCUACCCAUUUACUGAAGUAAUCAGUGGCGACAAGGAGGAAUUUCUUCUGGGCAGGUGCUGCUGGGAAAGGUCACACUAUGUCCAUGCCCCACUGCGCGAAAGGCCAUGGGCCUGAGACCGAUUUCAAUGCUGCCGAUGACAUAUGUGGAAUGGGAGCGUAUCUUUGACAUUUAUCACAUUUUUGGACAUAUGCUGCCGCGUCUUUCUUCAUUGUUGGCCAAUAGUAUCCUUGUGAAUGAGCUCUAUGUGCCAGGGAUCGUCCUCCCGUAUGAUUUCCGCAUAUUCCUUCAUGUAAUUCAGCUAGCACAUACUGGGCCUCUGAAUGCCCAAGACAGCGAAGAUAAGGCCCUGUGAAGGAUCGCUUGUACAGGUACCCCCCAAUCAGGGUGAAACGGGAAGCUUGCACCCGGAUUUUGUGCGCUUGUUUAGGAUCUUCGGGUAAGGUGCCUGUCCGGAGAUAUUUUGCAAUAUCAUGCGUCCAUUCUUGAUCAUUCGCUUGGUUUGCCUCAACGGUGUUGCAAGUGGAAUUUCUUGCGACAGAGGGAUUAACUUGUACAUGGAUAGGCAAUAGAAUGGCUUCUCUGAUGGGGAGGGAAGCAGCUAUACCGGCCAAGGCGUCAGCGCCCCCAUUGUCAGCUCGCUUAAUUUUUUCGAUUGUCCACUCGGUGAAUUGCUGUAAGGUGCUUCUUACUUUGGCCAAGUAUCGCGCCAUGCGUGCGUCCUUAGCCUCAUAUUCUUUCUAGACAUGCCUUACCACUAGUUGCGAGUCGCUGUAUAUCCGGAGUUUGGAGACGGAUAGAGCAAGGGCGAGGUCCAAUCCGGACAGGAUGGCCUCGUAUUCUGCUUCAUUGUUAGACGCGGGGAAUCCCAGCCGGAUGGCUUGCUCCAGAUGUUCCCCAGUUGGGGACUGCAAUAAGAGCUCGACUCCAGAUCCUGAUGAACGUGAGGCUCCAUCAACUCGCAGAGUCCACCAUUCUUUUUUACUUGAUUCUUCAUGCUGGCCGGGUUUUCGGGAAUAUUCUAGCACGAAGUCAGCCAUUACCUGGCCUUUCAUGGAUAGCCUUGGUUGGAAUUCAAUUCCAAACUCGCUUAAUUCGAUGGCCCAUUGUAGCAUUCUCCCGGUUAAAUCUGGCUUGUGCAAAAUGUUGCGAAGGGGUUGAUCAGUCAACACGAUCACCGGGUGGGCUUGAAAAUAGGGGCGGAGCUUUUGAGCAGCACUUCGAAGAGCUAAGGUUGUUAGCUCCAUUUUUGAAUACCUGGUUUCUACAUCUACCAAUGCUCUGCUGACAUAGUAGACAGGUUUCUGCUCCUUUGGUGAAGGGCAGCGGAAUAGAACGGCGCUGAUUGCCCAUUCUGAGACAGCCAGAUACAUGUAUAGCUUCUCCUUUGGGAUGGGGCUGCUCAAGAUGGGUGGAUGCAUAAGACAACGUUUAAUUCUUUCCAAAGCGUUUUGGCAAUUGUCCGUCCACCCGUGCGUUCCAGCUUUUCGUAUUGCCAAGAAGAAGGGUCGCAACUCAUCAGUGAAGCGGGCUAUGAAACGUCCUAACGCCACGAGUUUGCCUGUGAGGCGCUGUAACUCUUUCUUGUUCCUGGGAGGGGGUGUUUCAAUGACUGCCUUGACUUGAUCCGGGCUGACUUCUAUGCCUCUCUGGCUGACCAUAAAUCCCAGGAACUUGCCAGCGCUUACUCCAAAGGCGCAUUUAGAAGGAUUUAGCUUCAUGCCAUACCUUCGCAAGAGAUGAAAAACUUCUUGUAAGUGAAGAUCAUGCUGCUCUCGGGUUUUGCUUUUAACCACAAUGUCAUCAAUAUACACUUCUACCGUGUGGCCUAUUAGUGGUUUGAAGAUUUUAGUCAUUAAUCUCUGAUAAGUGGCGCUAGCAUUUUUGAGUCCGAAUGGCAUGACUUUGUAGCAGUAGAGGCCAUGUGGUGUUAUGAAUGCUGUUUUUUCUUCGUCAUCCGGGGACAUGGGGAUUUGAUGAUAUCCGGAGAAGGCAUCCAAGAAAGAGAGCUUCCCUUGCCCGGAAGUGGAAUCCACAAUCUGAUCUAUUCGCGGUAAGGGAAAACUGUCUUUUGGACACGCAUUGUUGAGAUUGGUGUAAUCUACACAAACUCGCCAUUUUCCUUCUUUUUUGGGUACCACGACUACGUUUGCCAACCAAUCCGGAUAAGAAACUUCUCUGAUG
rnacentral:lncRNA from 1 species